UUUUUGGAAAAUUAGUUGUUUGGAGACUAGUUUUCAAAUGUUUUUAUUUCUUAGGCUAAUUUGGAAAAUCAACCUUCUAUUUAAGCUAUAAAGCUAUAUUUCCCAAAUGUUGUUAUUUUGGUGAUUCUAAGACCAACAAGUCUUAUCAGAGCCUUUUUUUUUCAGUAGUUACGUGUUUUGUUUUCUUGAAACCCUAGUCCUUAAAAUUGUAGAUUUACUAUGUAUUGAAAAUUUUGAAGAGUUGUUGAAAACAAAUUAUGUUUUCUAAAAAAUACUAUUAUGAUCUACCUUUGAUUCGAUUUUUUAUUGGAUUCUAUAAAAAUUUUGUGUCUUCUGGGUUUAGAUCUGUUCUGUUCUUGAGGGUUCUUGAAUUUUUUGCUGAUAAAAUACUUUGGCCCACCUUGGAUUAGAAAAAAUUAGUGUUUUUACUGAGUUCUAACGAUCUGGUUCUUGACUCAAUGCUGAGUUGAGGUGAUGCUUAGAAACUCAUCCUCAGUAUUAAUAAGUUGAGUUGACUCACUCAUAUUCUUAUUGGUUUUCUUGACUCACUACUGAGUUAUACUAAGUCAUUGUGACUCGUUGGGACCUUUGUACAAUCUUAGAUUUUUGGUCCGAUUUUGAUAUUCUUCCACUGUUCCCUUCAUUUGAAAAUUUUGAGGUUUUGGGCUCUGGUAUAAUCUUUCCAUCCUCUUUAAUUCUUUGUUAUUAUUAAUCUUUUUUUCUGUUUAAUUUGAUUUGGUUAUUAAGGUAAGUGAGUUACCACUGCUUACCUUUGUCUAAAAUCUCCUACGAGGCUUUGGAAAGAUGAGGGAAUAGUGGAUCAAAUGGUCUCCACUCGUUAAACCUGUCACAAUCCUAUUUGAUAAUUACUUGUGUGACUUGAUUGCACUUGUUGCUAUAUUAUUCUGCAUACUUGAAUUGUAUAAGCUGUUUUAUAGUUUGUGUAAAUUACAUGUUGAGAUAUUUUUGUAAUAUUUUUCUUUACUCUGAAAUUUGCAUAUUUCCUAUAAUUUUCUCACAUUGAUUGAAUCGCAAUACUCUGUGUGUUGUAUAAUCUUGAUAUUGUGAUUCUAUCUGUUAAAUUGACAAAUGUAUGCAAAUUUGAAGUUGAGAUCCAAAAGGUACUUGAGACUUUAGUCUUCGACACCAAAAGAUGAGGGUUUUGUUGUUACAACAAAGGUGUGUUUCUGCUUUUGAUGGGUCAUGGGGUACUGAAAUUGUAUGUCCAAAUUGUAUGUUUUGUAUGGUUCUAUAGAAUUUAUGAAGAUCAAUUAGCAAAAUUCAGAAGCUAAAGAUAAUAUCGCUUUACCACCACUAUUACCAGUCUUGCCUUUGUAUUCAGUUGCUAGAGACGGAUUCAAGAGAAAUAUUAGGCCUCUACAUAGAAACGAGGAUGCUGAUUUAGUUGCUUCUACUUUGAAUGUGGUUGAAGAUAUUGAUUAUAGCCAAGAACCUUAUAUUGAAAUAGUUAAUUGUGUUGAUUCUGUUAUAGGACAUGUUUUUGCACUAUUUGAUGAUUAUUAAAUCAUUUGUAAUUUUUUUUUGCUUGUAAGGAAAAUUCGAGCAACUUUGAUGUCCAAAGUUAUCCUGUCGAGUAGUCUUGAAAUUUAGUAGAUAUUUAGUUAUUGAGUUUGCCCUGAUUGGAUUUUAUGAUAGUAGUGGAGAAUUUUUUCAAUUGGAAAUUUUGAUGGAGAAUUUUGUUUGGUGUUUUUGUUGAAGAGUUGAAGUCUUAUUUCCUACAGUGGAAUUUGUCUCAAAGUGGAAAAUCUUUGAAGUUUUGAUCAUUGCAGAGAAAUUUGUGCCAAUAUGGAAUUUGUUAGAAUCAGAGUGUCACCGAAUUCUAUUUGAAAUGCUAUUUGGGAAUCCUAUUUGAAAUUUGUUUGACAAUUCUAGUUAAAAUUCAAUUUGGGAGUUCAUUUGGAAGUUUGAAAUUUGUGUUGAACUUAAAGAGGUUAAGAUAUGGAGUAGGGAGAAAUUUUUGGAGCUUUUUCCCUAGUUGGGCUCUAGCUUCCUACUUGAGUAGUGGCAUUAACUUCUUUACAGCAAUCUGUCGGGUGCCUGGCGCUUGAGCUCCUAUAUAUCCAGUCCAGGCUCGUUUCACAUUUUUGGUACAUUUUUCUACAUCAUUUUCCGUCUAUAACUCUAUUCUAGUAUUUGAAAUGUUUCAUAUAUAUAAUUAGCUCUUUAUUAUGAUUUAGACAAGUUAGACAAAUUUGUAAAGAAAAAAUCUUUUUAUUCUUUUUCCGUAUUUUUUAAUAAAUUCUCCUUUGCUCUGCCAAUUAUCUUUUGUUUUUGUGUAUUUGUGAUAUUUAUUUCAUAUAUUUAUCCUCAUAUUUUAACACUUCUGAAACUACUUGUCCCACAUAUUUGAAGUUCAAUUUUUUUUUUUUUUUUUCACGAGAAAGAUUGUUAACAUACUUUUACACUACCAUUUGUUCCUAUUUGGUUUUCAUUUUUUAAAAUUUAUUUUUCUUCAAACUUAUUUUUGAUUACUCUCGUCCUUAACUUUCAAUUAAUUAGCACAUACUAUAUUUGAUGAUGAUUUGUCCAAAUAUUUUUUAUUUAUGAAACGACUACUUGCGCUUAUUUUUUGGGAUAAUAGAUUAAGAAAUAGUAACUUUAUUAAAAAAUAUAUUGUUAAAAAAUUGAAAAAAAAUUUGAGUACACGUGAAAAAUUAUUUGAUUGAGAGAAUAUGUACUUUUAAGGAAAAAAUGAGUUUCAGAUAUUAAAGUUCAAACAUUGACUUAAGCCAUGUUUGAUGGUUAUUAUUAAGAAUAAAGAUAUUUAAAUAGUGAUUUUUUGAAUAAUAUAUGGUUAGAAAGUAGGAAACAUCCUUGAUUUUAUGUGUAAAAUAUUUUAUUGUGUGAAUGUGUGGUUAAAAAUGAAUGCAAAAAUUAAAGAAUUUUGCUUUAAAGGAAACAAAAUGAGCUCAAUUGAUCUCACGUAUGUUUUAAUUAGCACGUAUGUAGUUGUCGUUUGUUUUUUAAAAACAAAGGAAUAUGACACUCAAAUACGGUUUGAAAACAGGGGCAUGACCCAGUGCUGCGUGAAUGACCCUAUUUGUAUGGCAAAACUCUAAAAAUAGAACACUUGAACUUCAUUUAAUUGCUAUCAUGGUCCUUCAUUUUAUAUUGCUCUCCAAGUCCUCAAAGUAAUGCCUUUUCUCUCUCUCUUAGUCUUCUUCGCUACUUUACUUUAAUCUAUACCAAAUCAGCACAUAUUAAUUAGCUAAUAGCAUUCCAUAAAAUAAAAUAACGAAUAUGUGUGUUUGUAUAUAUAUAUAAAGGUUACUCACUAAACACUCAUUUCUAUACAAGCAAGAUAAAAAAUAGUCUCCAAAAAAAAAAAAUUUAAAAUCAAUCUUCGUUUCAACAUAGUUAAAAGAAAAAUUAGCGAUAAUGAAGAACACGAUCAAAUAUUAGUUUCUUCACAAAAAUACUAAAUAUAUAUUUUAUAAUAAAAACUUCUUGAUCCACACACAAAUAUCAAGAAUUGAUUUUUGAUCAACAAUUCAUUUAUUUUGUACCAUAUUGAUUUGGAUAGAAAGAAUUGAAAAUAUUAAAUAUUAAUAUUUCAUUUAAUAAAAAAAAAUCUAGUAUAAGGACAAAAUAUAAAGUUUAUGGGUUAAUAUUGAGAUCACGUUAUUUAUUAAAUGUACUACAUUUCAAUUGCAUUAAAUGUUUUAAUUCUUUAUUCAUUGUUACAUACAUGUCUUGUACUUUUUUUUAUGGUAUUAUUAUUCAUAAACUUUCAUUAAUUAGCACAUCAUGUUUUUAAUGACCUUUUUUUAUUCAAAAAUUUUGUUAGCUUGCUUUAAGAUAUGGGCAAAUAUGUAGUUGAAAAUUUGUUUAUGGCUUUUUUUUUUUUGUGUUUGUUUUUUUGUGCUUCAAUAAGUCCCUCUUUACAAAAUUUAUUUGGACAAAUCAUCAUAAAAACAAGAUACGCUAAUUAAUUAAAGAUUGAUAAGAUUAAUAUUCAUGAAAUUAAAUUAUCAAAAGUUUAGUAAUUAAUCUUGAAAUUGAAGAUUAUUUACUAUCAUUUAGUAUCUUCAAAAUCAAAUAUAGUGAAGAUAGAAAAUCAAACUCAUUUUUCCAAUUUUCUUCUCCAAAUUGAAAUCUAGAAGAAUUCAAACCUAUUUUCAAUUGUCUUCCCCGAAAUGAAUGGAUGAUCAACUGAAUCACUUCACCUUUACUAUAGUCAAAUUGUGACCGAAAAAAUGAUCUAGUAAACGAAGGGAAAAAAAAAAAAAAAAAAAAACAGGAAAUAAAAAAAAAAAAUAAAAUUAUAAUUUAAAAAAAAACUCAGGUAAUACAAUGCAAUGAUAAAUUUACACUUUCAUAGAAACUGUAAAUUUGGUUCUUAGGCAACAAAUUUGGUGAAAUUGUGACCAAAUUAUUCCGGAAGUGAGGAGGUAAGAGAAUAUAUUCCAAAUUACUGAAUAAUAAUCUUUAAUUUAAGUCACAAAAUUUUCUAAUAUAAAUAUAUUGUUUAUAGGAAAGAUAAUUUUAUAUUAUUUAUAGAAAAGAUAAAUAAUAUUUAUCACUUGAUUUUUGAAAAGAUUUUACAGAUUUGAUAUAUUUGAUAUUGUGUUUUUAAUGUAAGAUGCUUAUGAUUUUUUCCCUCCCUUAUAAAAAAGUGAAAAUUUAGGAAGAGGGGUGGGGCCGUUGGGGUUUGUGGAUGGGAGCAAGUACAUAGAAUUUUGUAAAUCUAGUAAUAAUUAGGUUUUUCUUAGAUUUGGGUCCGUUGGGAUUUCUUAGGCAAUAACUUUAUUUUUGUUCCACGACACUGUCUUGUAAUACAAUCUUAGUUCUUGUUUGUUUCAUUUUUAAAAUGCCCUUCUUUUUUCAAAUUUGUUGUCAAUUAAAAUGAAAUUAACCACUUUUAUCAACUUUUUAAACACAAAUUUCAUAAAUUUUAAUCAAAAUACAGUAAAAAUCUAUUUUUUUAAACCCAAGAAUGCAAAUAUAGAUUUUUGUUAAUAAUUGCAAUAUUAUUCUUUCCCCGUUAUGUGUUGUUAACAUAACUGGGGACAUUAAUUUAAAAAAGAAAAGUUGUUCUGUUAAGAUUUACCAUUUCAAUAGUGUUUCUUCAUCUCUAUUCUGAAAUUAGAGAUAUCUGUGCACUAAUAAUUAUUUUCGUAGAUUCUUAUGUGUUAAUGAUAGAUACAUAAUUCAUUGAAAUUAGUUUCCUUUGCAAUAUGUGAGUUGAUCAACUUGCAGACUUCUCCAUUAACUCGUUCAAGAUAAAUUUAAAUAAUAUACUUGUGAUCUUAUUCAAUAGUUUAAAAUUUUGGAUUAAGUGACUUAACAAAGUAAAAAGAUGUUGAAUUUGAGUCUAUUCAUCGCCAAUUAACACAAACAAUAAGCGAUUAAUAUAUAAUCAAAUUAUAUGAAAAUUUUUAAAUUAAAUAAACAUUAACAUAAGAUACAUCAUCGAUACUAACAACAAAGUAUUUAGCCACUCAUGAUUGUUGAAUAAAAGGACUAAAAGCAGCAUUGGAUUCAAUACAACGAAUUAAGAUGAAAUGUUCCGUUGAAUACAGCGAUAGCACAGCAUGUUUCAGUGCGAUCACAUGGUUUAAUUGAAUUUACCCACGCCUGAGCUCGAUCAACCCUUGCCAUCAAACCAAUGUUGACCAUAGUAGAAUGUGCACUUUGGUCCUUGAUUCGGUUUCUUGUUAAACUCAUGUCCUCCAAUAUUGCAAGGCGAGCCUUCAACUUCCAACUUGAUAGAUUGGUCCAUGAAUUCCAAUUUCAUCCAAUUUUCAUUCGUCUUGAUCAUUUAAGUUCAUUUUCAUUGUUUCUUGUCCAAUACCGAAUUUUCUCCUAAAAUAAUUAAUAAACGCAUGUUUGACAACCAUUAUUUGAAAACUCAAUUUUCUACUCACUCAUUUCAACGGUAUAUUCACACCAUAAAAUAUGCUACACCUAAAUUCAGAAUCGUUUCCUACUUUUAAACUACGCAUUUUCUUAAAAUUACUAUCCAAAACAUUAAUUUUUUUUUUCCAAAUAAUGAUUGUUAAAUAGGAAUUAAGUAUCUAGCUCAUAUAAUUACUCACACGUCACUUUUGAUUGCACGAAUAACAAUCAUAAACUCAAACUAAUGGGACAAAAUCCCUUUUCCCCCAUUUUUUUUUUACAAGCAACACUUUUUUCGGUUGCAAUUUACUUGGGAUUGGCAAACUCCAACUUGCUUUUCCCUUUUUUUAUUUGCUUACAGGCCCACCAAAAAUUCGACACACUGGCAUCAUUUUCCUAGUUGGUUUCCGCCGAUUGAGGUUGGAGUGGGGUUAGAGACUUUUUGCUCUUUUCCUUAUUAUUUUCUUUUUUAAAAUUUCACCACUUCUUUCUCUGAUCGCCUAAACUCUUACCUUUGUUCUGCUACUCUUUCAUCUAUAUUUUGGUUGCUGCAUUUUCUUUGUACAAUCCAUUUUAGAGAUUGGUUGGUGGGAUAGGUUAUUUCAUUUUUUUUUGUCUUAUUGUUUAAUUAUUUACUACACGGAAGGGCAUUUAGUUUUUUAUUUUUUUUUGGAUAAAAUAUAAUUUUUAAUCGGAUAAUUAUAUUUUCAAAUCAUAGUUUUUGUUUGUCCCACCAUCACACUCAAUAGCUCUAAACUUUGUUCAUUUGUCGCACUUUUACUCUCAAUUUUUUUUUUCUUCGUGCAUUCUCGUGCUCAAUUUGAAUUAACUUGUAUAUCUUAUCCUUGAUGCUAAUUUAAAUCCAAAUGUUCAUGCUCGCUUUGAAAUGAGAGGUAGAUAUUUUUUCGAACUUUUAUUUUUCACUUAUUUUAAAUAUAAGGUACAGAUAAAUAUUUUUAUGCACUCUUAUUAAAUUUUUUGGAUCAAAACUAUCACUAGGGACAAAUAUACUAAUUAAUGAAACGUUGAGAAAAAUAUAUGACAAAAAAAUUGUACAAAUUAUGAAAAACGACCCUUUUCAAAUUGAACCACAAGUUGCGGAUAUUCAUGCCAAAAAAACAAAAAACAAAAGGAAAAGGAAAAGAAAAAGGAAAAACAUGAGAGACCGAAUUCAAACAUUGGCCAGAUGUCAGGGACAAUUAUUGUUUAUCACUAUUUCUUUUUUUUAAACCAAAAGUCAACAAUUAUUAUUCAACUUUUAUAAAAAUGUCUUACAUUUUUGUUUUAAAAAAAUAAUGUCACAGUAUUUACAUUAAAAACAGAACAAAUUCUUUAUUUUUUGGCUUUAAAAAAUAAUUAAUAUUAUGAUAAAAAAUUUUAUUAUUUUUUUUAAAAAACAAAGAAACAUGUAAAUUAGUUCAAGGAGUUCAGUUUAUUAAAAUAUAAUAUCUAUAAUAAAUAUCCACUCAUUAUUUGAACCAAUGACUCGAUGACUUAACCGGAUUAAUGCUAGUAACUAAUUAACUAGGUUAUAUACCAGUUUCAACUUGAGAAAUUUUGAUAUUGGCCAAAAUUAAACUCCAGUUUGGUGGAGUUGAAAAUUAAAUUUAUAAUAAAUUUUGAUAAAAGAUGAAGAAAUAAAUGAUUGAAAAGUUGUGAAUUUCAUAAAAUAUGUGAUUAAGAAUAUUUUAUUAUUUUCGACUUCAAUUUUAGUAAAUUUUAAGUCACACAAAACAUGGGUUGAAAAGGGAAAAAAAAAAAGUGGAAAUUACACUCAAGCAUUUUUUUAACUUCCAAUAUAAAAAAUCAAAUAUAAGAAUUAUUUAUAUAAAAAUGGGGUCAUAAUUUAUUUUUUAAUAUUAAUAAUAAUAUUAUCAAAUUAAUUAUCCUACUACCUCCAUUCCAUUCAACCCACAAAUGCUAUUACACUUUCAACUUAUUUCUAUUUUAUCUUAUUCAAUCGCUCCUUCAACUUAUGUCAACGACAAGCGCAACAGCAGUGCCCGUGUGCGUGACAACAUGCGCCGUAAUAUCGUGACCUUGGCACAGCUAUGGAUGAAACAAUGGUGAUGCACUUCCAUCGCCACUGUUUCGUGCGUAGCGACGAUCUGCUUCUGUGCACAGCGACGGUGCACGUCCAUAGUCGCUGCUUCUUCCGUAGCAAUGAUCUAUUUUCUGUAAUCUCCUCUAUUUUUCUCUUCUUCUGUUUGGUGUGAUGUUAAUGGCUAUGAUGUGGUAGUUGUGAAAAAGAUGGUGGGUUUGAGGAGGUGGUGGGGGUGAUUGUUGAUACAGGCGAUGGUAAUGAUGCAGUAGUGGUGAUGGCAGAGAUGAGUUUCGAAAAAUUUUGCUGGGGAUGGUGGUUGUGGUGUUGUAGAGAUAUGGGGUGGUUGAGUGGGAUGAUGGCGAGGUGGUGGUGGUGGUGGCCAUUGUGAUGCAAUGAUGGUGGUUCUGGCAAUGAUAGGGCUCAUGCUAGUGGAAUAGAUAAUGGUGUUGGGUGGCAACUCGAUGAUGGUAGGGUGACACGACGUUUGAUUGGUGUCGAUGGUGGAUUGGUAUUGGAUUAUAUUAAAUUGGGAUGGGGAUUGGAUGAAGAGUGUUUGUUAACAAUAAAAAAAUUAAUUUAUGACCAGUAAAUAAUAUAUCAUAGAUAAAAUAAAUAAUUUAAGAUAAAAAAAUAAUAUGUGAUCUAAAAAUGUAUGAUUAUUAGCAAAAAAAAAAAAUUUUAUCGCUUGUACUCAUUGUGAAAAGGGUAAUUAUACUACAACUACAAAAAUUGUUAGUUACACCACAAUUUUUUUAUUUACUUAAAUAACCUUAAAUAAAAUUACAUAAGUGGGUUUUAAAUAUAUUUAUCACAUAACAUAAUUUAUUUUUCCACCACAAUCAUAAAACCUUUAAAAAUUUAUCUUCUUCCCCAAUCCCUCCUCCAACCCCCACGCUCAAAACUUCAUCUUUCAAUUAAGUUUGGCCGUUAAAGAAAUUAAAUUGAUUCCAAGGAAGAAUAACGAUUAAAAAAAUUAUGUUUCAAUGAUGAAAUUGAUAGAAUUUAUACAAAAAAAAUGGAGCUUCUAGUACCGCAUGAAUUAGCUUAAAUCAUAUCAAUUUACCUUCAUGAGAGAUAGAAAAACGUUCCCAAAAAAAAAAAGAAAAAAAAGAAAAGGAAAUGGAUGAAGAAUUGGGAAAAACUCCAAGUAAUUUCCAUAAUUUUAGAACUCUUAAACAACAACCUAGGCAAGGGGUAAGGGAUAUAGAGGGAACAUGGGAUUGGGGGAUGUUGAAGUGGAGAACCAAGAGAAUGAGGGUAUUGAUUCACAUGUGAUGAGAUUUUCAAGGGCUUUAGAUUUUGCGCAGUCAAAAGGAUGAGUGAUCUGUGCAAUGUCUUUAGAUUUUCAAUACUUUAUUAAAUCAUUUUGUAGUAUCAAAAGAUUUUAUGGGAAUUCUACGUGGGCAAGUUUUCAUUGAGACUAUGACAUGCUACUUGAUUAUGUCUUGAAAUGUUUAUUUUUGGUUUAUUCACACACACACACACACACACACACACACACACACACACACACACAUAUAUAUAUUAUGUUUUUUACAUAUUUAUUUUUGUUCUUAUUGAAUUAAGAGUAUAAUUUUAAAUUUAUUGUGGUAUAUUUAUUAAAAAUAUAUUUUAAUUAUGGUGUAAUUAUAAUGUGGUGUUGUAAUUAAAAUUUGUAGUGGUAAUAUAAUUACCCUUGUGAAAAUAGUUCAUAUCCUUUUAAAUUUGACAUUCACUCCCUUAUUUCAAAUCUUUCUUGCAGAGUUAGUUAUUUUCAUCAUGUUUCGUUAAAUCAUUCCAUGAAAUAUGAGUAAUUGGCAUAAAAAAAUCUUUAUCUUUUGCCUUCAUUGUGUAAAUUAUCCUUAUAGUUUUAAUUUUGAUAUUCGUGCACUUAGAUCAACCUUUUUUUGUAUAAAAAAUCCUUACCAUCCUUUUUUUUUUCCUUUCUUGCAUUAAAACAUUGUAAAAUGACUAAUUUAUCUACCACUUUGAAUAAUCAAAUAAAAGAAAAAAUGAUAUGUGGAUUUUCAAAUUUUUUAAGAAGUGCAAAUUAAUCUCACUUCAAAAAAUUUAAAAUAUUCUUCAACAAAAAAAUAUUUUAUCUUUAAAAUUAAUCCAGCUAUCCCUACGCCCACGCACCACCCACCACCACUACCACUACCACCACCAAAAUAAUUGAAAAGUGAACUAAAAGUGUUAAAAAAAAAAAACAAAAGAAUUAAAAAUAGAAAAAAACAAAAACGCAAAAAAGCAAACUGGCGAUUCUUCCUAGUUUUGACAACUUGGUCUUGGUCAAGCAUGCUUUUCUCCAAGUUUCUGCAGAUAAUUCAAAGUUUCCAAAAAGUGAGCAAUACAAAUUACACUCUUGACUACUUUAACAUAUUCUUGGACAUUUUACCAAAGUAAGAAGACACUUCUUAGAAGGGGUAACAAUGGUCUAUUGCAAGAUUUUGCGAGAGAAACUUAGAGCCAUUUUACAUAUAAAAAGUUUAAACCAUUUCAGAUCUCUUUUCCCCGAAUCAAGACCCAACACUUCCUGCGCUGAAUCACACGAGUUGGGAUCCAGAUUCAUUUUUGGCACCACUACUUGAUUGAUAUAUUUAAGUUCAAACUUUUUUGAUGAGAAAAAUCACUCUAUGUAAUACAGAGGUAAGAAAUUAUCAUAACAGUGUUUUGCAUCGACCUAAAAUUUGUAAAUAUUAUUAAAUUCAUAAGUAGCAUCAUCUCAUCAAAAAGGGCAGCAAAGAUAAUAUUGAAAUUCCAUAGAAAGAUUCCAUGAAAGGAAAGCGUACCUCAAAGCUUUAGAUCAGCGUGAACUGGGGCGGACCCAAGAGGGUCCCUAGGGUCACUUAACCCUCCAUUUUUUUCAAUUCUUAUUUUUAUUUUUUUGUCUUAGUUGAAAUAUUAUAUUUUUAAUAUCAUUUUGAAGUACUCACGGCCUAAUAUUUCACGUCGUUAAUGUAGUGUGAAAUGGCCAAUCGUAACAAAUGUUACGAUGUGUCAAAAUAUGCCGUUCCAAACUAAUAUUUCGAGAAUUUCGAUAAAAAGCUAACUUUAAAAAUUUUUCGACGAUUAUACGCUAGUCAUAUUCAUAAAUCUUCAAUAUCCUCUCAAAGCUCAUUCCGAGAACUAUAUUAUAAAUAUAUCGAAUGAUUUAAAUAAAUAUCGAAAAUAUUUAAACGUACGUCAAACGUUUAUACUAAAAAUAGACAUAUAACUCGUCUCUUUUUGGAUAAAAAUUAAUUAUUUUAUUAAUGUUUAUUGUUUUUUUGCGACAAAUUUCUAAAUAUAAUUUAUAUCAUUUUAUUAGGAAAUUUUAUAUGUGGUAUGACGUCAAAUUUUGUUUUUUUUGGACGUAAAAAUUAUUAAUAAAAUUUUCAUUAUUUUAUAGGGCUAAUAAAUUGUUAUACUACUUUUUCAUCUUGAUUAUUUUUAUAUUUGAAAAAAUUAUAUCUACAAAAAUUCAAUCAUUUUUAGGAUUUAUUAUUAUUAUUAUUAUUAUUAUUGUUACCUUUUUCUCUCGAUUAAUUAAUUUUUUUCAAGUGACGUCAAAAAUUUUAUUAGGAAAUUUAUUAGAUUAUUUUUUUAAGAAUUGAUUGACGAAAAAAGUAACAAUAAAAAAACAUCCUAAAAAUAAUCGAUUAUUUUUUUUAUAUAUAAAAGUUUUUUAGAUGUAAAAAUAAUCAAGAUGAAAAUGUAGUAUAACCGUUUAUAACCCAUAUAAAGUAAUAAAAAAAUUUCAUUGCUCUUUUUAAAAAUUUGAUUGUAACCCCCUAAUAUAAAAUGUCUGCGUCUGCCCUUGAGCGUGAAAAGUCGAAUUAGUGUCCUUUCCAAAGAAGGAUACAUACUGGAUUUUAUUUUAUUUAUUUAUUUAUUUAUUUUUUGGGUACUUUCUCCUCCAUAACAAAAGAUACAAUAAUUAUGUUGUUAUACAACCGUGCCAACUCCAAAAUUCUUGAACGAGUUACACUCAUUUAUGUAGCAUAAUAUGUUAUAUAAACAUAAUGAUUGACAUAAUCUUUAACAUAAUAUCACAUAACAACCUAUUAUCGAACUGCUUAAAAUACAGUUAACUUUUUCAUUAAAUGACAUCAUACCAACACAUUCUGUCAUUCUCUCUGUUACACACUUUUUAACACAUGAGUUAUUCCAUAAUAUUUGCAUAAUUCUAUUCUCAGGUACUCGAUAGUGAGGCGGUUAUAUUAGCAAUUUCACCUGAAAAUUGCCACUUAUUGUAAAAAUUAUGUUGGUCAAAUUAUUUGUUGUAUCAUCGUGAACAAACCCUGGCUAGAAAAUCAGUGAAUUGGGGAACGUUUGACAAUCGAACUAGGGUUUAACCAUAAGAAACGUCCAAAUUAAUCACUGUGAAUGUUUGAUCCCAGGAUAUCUUGGUAAUAAAUGAGAAGAAUAUGAUAGGCUAGUCUUCAUGUUGGCACAAUGAUGAACCUAUGAUUUCCUUCACAUUUUCCUCUAUUUGUUAAAUAUUAAAAACCAAAAAAGGCCAAAUUACAAUCUAACUGUUAUAUGGCUAAAAAUCAUGCCCCUAUCUAAUGCCUAAUGGAGCUAUUUAAAAAAAUCACUAAAUUUUUGCACGCGUGGGAGUCUGUCCCAUUAACGUAGAAUUUUGUUUAAAUUAUUAUGUGAUUUUGCUACUUGCCAAAAAGCCCUUCUACUCAUAGAGGACUGGGGCACCUCAACCCCUUUUCUUAGUCUGUCCCCAAUCUUGGAAUUAUGAUGGCGACUGUAUCAAAAUUUGAUAUUUCAUCUUAAAAUGUCAAUCUCAUUAAAAGGAGUAGAUCAAGUCCUUAUAAAUUGGCAUAUACUUUUACCUUUAUUUAAUUUGAAUUUUAUCUUCGAACAUGCCUCAACAAGAUGGUGACUCAUUUGAGUAGAUCAAUCUUGAAAUUCGCGUGCUCAUUUUUUUUUUUAUAUUUUUAAUCUGAUCAAUUUGCUUGUUUGAGAUUAAUAGACUCCGAUAUCAUAUUAAUCUUGAAGUUCCAUCUUAAAAUGUCAAAUUUAUUAAUAAAAGUGGUCCAAAUCCUCAUAAAUUAGUUUAUAUUUUCAUCUUUAUUUGAUGUGUAAUAUUAUGAACGUUUGAGCACAGUUAGAGAAGCUUUGAGAUGUGGAACUAAUUUAAUGAGAAUAAGAAUUUCCAAACUUAAAAUAAAGCCGAUAAGCUGAUGUUUAAGCAGCAUCACAAGAGCUAUAUGGUCGAAUACAUCUAACGUGGUAUUAUGCCUAAAUUUAUAUGGCCAAAUACAUCUACCAUGCAAUUGCAUCGCAUACUAUUAAGAAUUAUGUACCGAAUCGGUUCUACUUGAUCAGUGAAUAAAGGAAUGCUUAUAAUAUGACAAUUUAAAAAUAAAAAAAGUACACAAGAUUUACGUGGUGAAAAGAUACUAUGGACAGAAAAUGAGAACUUAUCAAUAUGAAUAAUGAAAUAUUACAAAUUAUUCUACAAAAUGUAAGGAUUGAUUUUUUUAGAGGUUUACUCCUCGCAUAUAUAGUGCAAAGAAGGGCCUAAGAUGUGGUGGAGUUCAACUGUAACAAGUUUAUACAAAAAUGGAGUGUUUGAGAUAAAAUAUGAUUAAAAAUCUGCCAAAAAUGAGAACUGCUAGAUCGUUACUUUAGCGGCCGCAUCACGAAAAAUGCGCGCCAAUGUUCCUGCUCUGCACCCUCAAUUGCUACACACCUGAUCAUUGUUUCCUUUUCCUUGCACGAUUUUGUCCUCUCCUAUAGCAACUUGGACUUCUUCAUGUCUUCUUCAAGUUAAAAACAAAUUUAAAACUCCCAAUUGAACUCCUAAAUUGAUUUCCAAUUUGAAUUCUCAAAAAGACUUCAACUAGAUUUCUCAUCUAGAUUUCAAAUAAAUUCCCAUAUAGUCUUUCAAAUAGAAUUUGGGUCACACCAUACUCCACCUUUCCUGAAUUUGUCUCUAACAUUUGAAUACUGAGGCGGCAAAGCGAAAUUUCCCUUAACUUCUGAACUCAAUUGAGAUAUAUUUUUAAUAUAGACUCUAAACCAAACUCCAAUGGUACUAUACCGAACUCAAAAUUCACCCAAGUCCCUAAUUUCUACUGAUUAAUAUCCAAAGAUUAUCUAUAAUAAAGCAAGACAUAUAAGUGAACAUUAUUCACUCCUUCAACAUAACANNNNNNNNNNNNNNNNNNNNNNNNNNNNNNNNNNNNNNNNNNNNNNNNNNNNNNNNNNNNNNNNNNNNNNNNNNNNNNNNNNNNNNNNNNNNNNNNNNNNNNNNNNNNNNNNNNNNNNNNNNNNNNNNNNNNNNNNNNNNNNNNNNNNNNNNNNNNNNNNNNNNNNNNNNNNNNNNNNNNNNNNNNNNNNNNNNNNNNNNNNNNNNNNNNNNNNNNNNNNNNNNNNNNNNNNNNNNNNNNNNNNNNNNNNNNNNNNNNNNNNNNNNNNNNNNNNNNNNNNNNNNNNNNNNNNNNNNNNNNNNNNNNNNNNNNNNNNNNNNNNNNNNNNNNNNNNNNNNNNNNNNNNNNNNNNNNNNNNNNNNNNNNNNNNNNNNNNNNNNNNNNNNNNNNNNNNNNNNNNNNNNNNNNNNNNNNNNNNNNNNNNNNNNNNNNNNNNNNNNNNNNNNNNNNNNNNNNNNNNNNNNNNNNNNNNNNNNNNNNNNNNNNNNNNNNNNNNNNNNNNNNNNNNNNNNNNNNNNNNNNNNNNNNNNNNNNNNNNNNNNNNNNNNNNNNNNNNNNNNNNNNNNNNNNNNNNNNNNNNNNNNNNNNNNNNNNNNNNNNNNNNNNNNNNNNNNNNNNNNNNNNNNNNNNNNNNNNNNNNNNNNNNNNNNNNNNNNNNNNNNNNNNNNNNNNNNNNNNNNNNNNNNNNNNNNNNNNNNNNNNNNNNNNNNNNNNNNNNNNNNNNNNNNNNNNNNNNNNNNNNNNNNNNNNNNNNNNNNNNNNNNNNNNNNNNNNNNNNNNNNNNNNNNNNNNNNNNNNNNNNNNNNNNNNNNNNNNNNNNNNNNNNNNNNNNNNNNNNNNNNNNNNNNNNNNNNNNNNNNNNNNNNNNNNNNNNNNNNNNNNNNNNNNNNNNNNNNNNNNNNNNNNNNNNNNNNNNNNNNNNNNNNNNNNNNNNNNNNNNNNNNNNNNNNNNNNNNNNNNNNNNNNNNNNNNNNNNNNNNNNNNNNNNNNNNNNNNNNNNNNNNNNNNNNNNNNNNNNNNNNNNNNNNNNNNNNNNNNNNNNNNNNNNNNNNNNNNNNNNNNNNNNNNNNNNNNNNNNNNNNNNNNNNNNNNNNNNNNNNNNNNNNNNNNNNNNNNNNNNNNNNNNNNNNNNNNNNNNNNNNNNNNNNNNNNNNNNNNNNNNNNNNNNNNNNNNNNNNNNNNNNNNNNNNNNNNNNNNNNNNNNNNNNNNNNNNNNNNNNNNNNNNNNNNNNNNNNNNNNNNNNNNNNNNNNNNNNNNNNNNNNNNNNNNNNNNNNNNNNNNNNNNNNNNNNNNNNNNNNNNNNNNNNNNNNNNNNNNNNNNNNNNNNNNNNNNNNNNNNNNNNNNNNNNNNNNNNNNNNNNNNNNNNNNNNNNNNNNNNNNNNNNNNNNNNNNNNNNNNNNNNNNNNNNNNNNNNNNNNNNNNNNNNNNNNNNNNNNNNNNNNNNNNNNNNNNNNNNNNNNNNNNNNNNNNNNNNNNNNNNNNNNNNNNNNNNNNNNNNNNNNNNNNNNNNNNNNNNNNNNNNNNNNNNNNNNNNNNNNNNNNNNNNNNNNNNNNNNNNNNNNNNNNNNNNNNNNNNNNNNNNNNNNNNNNNNNNNNNNNNNNNNNNNNNNNNNNNNNNNNNNNNNNNNNNNNNNNNNNNNNNNNNNNNNNNNNNNNNNNNNNNNNNNNNNNNNNNNNNNNNNNNNNNNNNNNNNNNNNNNNNNNNNNNNNNNNNNNNNNNNNNNNNNNNNNNNNNNNNNNNNNNNNNNNNNNNNNNNNNNNNNNNNNNNNNNNNNNNNNNNNNNNNNNNNNNNNNNNNNNNNNNNNNNNNNNNNNNNNNNNNNNNNNNNNNNNNNNNNNNNNNNNNNNNNNNNNNNNNNNNNNNAGUUUAAGGGUAGCUAUAUAGAGACCGCCUUAUUUUCUAUAAUGCCCUACAUUUUAAUUGUAUUAAAAUGGUCAAAUAUUUAUUCAUUGUUACAUUAAUGCCUCUUACUCCUUUUUUAUUGCAUUCUUAUCCAUAAACUUUCAUUAAUUAGAACAUCUUUUUCUUGAUGAUGUUUUCAUUCAGAAAUUUUGUUAGCAUGCAUUAAAAUAUGAGAUACAUAUGUAGUCGCGAUUUGUAUUUGUUGUGCGUCAGUAAAUCCCAAAAUCAUCAUGAAAAAUAAGAUGUGCUAAUUAAUUAAAUGUUGAUGAUAAGAAGUGUAAGAAUAAUUAAAUGUUAUGAAUAUUUUAUAUAAUUAAAUAAAAUAUGGUCAAGUUUAUAAGAAAAUGUGGUGUGAAUAUAUAUUUAGCCAAAGUUAAAGUAGGAAAAAACCCUAAACUUGCAAAAUCAUAAUUUCACCUUAGUAAUCUGAAGUGCAAGAAAUGAUAUAAAAAUGACAUUAAGAAAUCAAUCAAAUAUAUACCGAAAAUGAAUAAUAAUAAGCAAUGACUGAUGAAAAAUUGGAAACUGUCAAUCAUUCAAAAUGAAGGUGGGAGCAGUUGGGUUUGUGGAGGGGUACUGGUGGUAUAUCAUUUUGCUAAUCUCGUAAUAAUUAUUAUUGCUUUAGGUGAGGAGUACUUUAUUCUUUGUUCCCAUUACCGUAAUUACUAUAAUCAUUAAACCUAAUUUCCUUUGAAAAUUCUUCUACUAUGAAUUUGGCAGACAGCUUCUUCAUGAUGAACUCUCAUACCAUGGCUCGUUUUCAAUUUCUUCUUAUCGAACUCUCGAUGCUUAAAACUCUGGCACAUAAGUUUGAUGGGGAUGGUAUAUAUUAAUGUAUUGUAUAGGAGUAGUAUUGCCUUUAGAUAUUGUUAGAUAUUAAUGUAUUUAUAAGAGUAAUAUCGUCUUUUCAUUUUUUAGGGCUUCUACAUUUUCCUCUUCACAUUGGAAAGAAAUAGAAUUAUCUAAAAUGCAAUUGGUUAGAAGUUAGGAAAGGAAACACGCUAUUUCUUUGAACAAUGAAGGUUUUUCUUCUAAAGCAUCAGUUUUCAUGGAACAAAUGCACAAAUAUGCAGUCAAUGCAGCUAGAUUUGAACAGGGUUAUUAUUAUCUUAUGGUCCCCUUUAAUGUUUUAUAAUCCCUCGAGUUCGAAAUUCCUUUUUUCCACAGAAUUGCACGGCUGAUUGAUUUAUUUUCAACCUCGUCGUUCAGAUUAAAAUUGUUGAAUAUAAUAUUUAAAUAAUAUACCUACUUAAUAAUUUAAAUUUUAGAUCCAGUCAUUUAACAUAGUACAAAGAUUCUGAAUUUAAAUCUUAUCAUCAUCGAUUAAUAAAAAAAUGUGCAGCGUUAGAUUUUGAGAGGUAAAAAUUAAAUCCGGCCUGAAAGUGAAGGACACAUUAAAAGUAAUAUUUAAAUAACUUAGAUGUAAACUUCCUCAAGCUUUUAAAUGAGAAUAAUAAACAAAAAUGAAACUAUUACCACGCAAGAACAAAAGCAAACACAAAGAAUGGGAUUACUUGAGGAGACAGAAAUAAUUACUUUCCAAACAUUAAAAGGAGUCUCAACAAGGAGCUUAUCAGACACUUGAAGACAAAUAAUUACUCUCCAAAGACUUAAAAAAAAAUAAAAAAUAAAAAAAACAUAAGAGAGACUCACUGGGGAGCUCUGCAACUGAAUCGAUUCUGCAGGUCUGGGGAGAGAUAAAAACUUGUUCCAAAUGUAAAAGCUUAUCACUCUCUUGUUUCUGAGGUUUCAACUGGAUCGAUUCUGCAGGUCCCAAAGGUAACAACUUAUCACUAACACACUGUAUCUAAUCAGCCAUACGAGCUUCUUUGGCGACAAAAGACUAGACAAUCUCUUGAUUAAAGAUAACAUGCAUCGGACACGACACAAACAAAUAGGCAAAACCCAGUUGAGCUAAAACCAUCAACAAAAUUCACAACCCGGUUGUGCUAGAACCAUCGACAAAAUUCUCACUCUGAUCACCAAUUCUCCCUCUUUCUCUUCCAAGAUCUUCUAUCUUCAUUCAGCCAGCCUUCAUUGAAUUGGCUUAACGCAAAGAAGGGUUUAAAAAAAUAAAAAAAUAAAAAUUCACGACCCGGUUGUGCUAAAGCCGUGAACAAAAUUCUCACUCUGCUAUCCAAUUCUCUAGCUUUCUCUUUCCCAAGAUCUUCUAUGUUAGGAAAAUGUGUAAUUGGCAAUCUGUGACCAAAUGACCUAUUUGUCAUGCUUGUAAAGUCAGGGACUAAAUUGUAAAGGUCUAAUAGUUCAGGGACUAGAGCUGCAAUUUAAUAAAUUCCAUAGCAUUGGUCUAGGGUAAAGUGGGAUGCUUUGAAGAUGAAAACGGCGCGUUGAUUUCGCUAGAGUUUCGCCCUGACCUUGCUCGAGCCACAAUUGCAGAAUUGAUCUCGCUGGAGUUUCGCUGGGCAGUCGCUCGAGUUUCGCCAGCACCUCGCUCGAGCGACGGUGUUAUCUGGCCAUUGGUAAUUUUAAUGCCUCGCGAAUUUUUAACGCUUUAUAUUUUCAAAUUUGACCUACUAUAUAAAGAAAACGUCUGAUUUUCAUUAAAUACUUUUGGAAAACAUUCAAACAAGAACUUCUUUUAACUUCCAAAGGAUUUAAAGCCAAACAUUCGAUCUUUCUCAUCUUUUGAUUCUCAUGAUUUUUGAAUAAAAACAUCAACCAUCACAAAACCAAAAACACCCCUUCAUAUCUCCAUAUCAACUUCCAGAAGAUCAUCUAUUUGAAGAUCCGGGAAAGAAAUUGCUUGAAGAGCUGGAGUGCUUGGUGAUUCACGGGAAGUAGAAGAUAUUCAAGGCUGGGAUUUUGGCGCAGAUCUGCAGAAUCUAGGAGAGCUUUGGUUGAUACAGUAAGGAGAUCAGAGAAUUGUUAGUUUCAAUUAUGUCUGGCGUACUGUAAGUCAAUAUUUUCGAUAGUGGAUCUCUACUGGCUUGUGCCCGGAGUUUUUACCCAGUUGGGUUUUCUCCGUCAGCAUUUUGUUUUUACUGCUUUUUGUUAUUUAUUUUUCAACCGGUAAUUCAACUUAGAUAGAUAAAGUAUGUGAAUGAAUCUAGGCAAUACAUAAUUUAUGUGACUUGUUGCAUAAGUUAAUUAAUUGUUUCAAUUCCUCAUAAACACCUAUUUACCCCCUUUCUAGGUGUUGGUUGGGUCGAACUAUAUCUUUUUCAAGUGGUAUCAGAGUCAAAUCUCGAGUCCUGACCCAUAGUUGUCUAGAAUCACUUUCUGUACCUCCAUAUUUUGACGGAAGUAAUUAUGUCUAUUGGAAAGUUAGAAUGCCUGUGUUUCUUAAAUUUUUAGAUGAGCAUGUUUGGGUAAGUGUGCAAAAUGGUUGGAAACCUCCCUCUACUAUCGUAUCAGGAACUAUUAACCUUACUGACAUAUCACUGUGGACUAAAGAUGAAAUAGCUGAGUGUAAUUAGAAUAGCAAGGGUCUUCAUGCCCGGUUUAUGGCCGUGUCUCCCGAAGAGUUUAGGAGAGUGUCAAUGUGUGAAACUGCUAAAGAGGUUUGGGACAUUCUUGAAACUACACAUGAGGGAACUAAAACGGUAAAGAACUUUAAGCUACAAAUGCUAACUUCUAGGUUUGAAGAAGUGAGAAUGAAGGAUGAUGAAACGUUUGACGAAUUCUAUGCUAAAUUGAAUGACAUUGUCAAUUCUAGCUUCAAUCUAGGUGAGAAAACUCCCGAGUCUAAAACUGUGAGAAAAGUGCUUAGGUCCUUGCCCGAGAGAUUUAGGCCUAAAGUCACUGCCAUUGAGGAAAGUAAGGACCUAGAUGAAGUUAAAAUUGAAGAACUGGUAGGAUCGUUGCAAACGUAUGAACUCACUAUUACACAACCUAAGAAAGGAAAGUCCAUAGCCCUAAAAUCCAUCAAAGAAGAUGAAUCUUCUGAUAUUGAGUCACUUAGGGACGAGGAAAUUGCAUACUUUGUUAAGAAAUUCCAAAAAGUUCUCAAGAAUAGGAGAAAACCUCAAGAUAAAAAGAGUGAAGCCCCUAGCAGAUUCACAAAAGCAAAAACUGUAACGUUUAACAAUAAAGGGUCGAGUGAUAAACCAUGUUUGGUUAGGUGUCAUGAGUGUCAAGGUAGAGGUCACUAUAGGAAUCAAUGCCCUAGUUAUAAGAAGAACCAAAGAAAAGGGAAAGGUAAGGUCUUAGUUGUCUCACUUACAGAUAAUGAAUCUGAGACCAGUGAUAGACAUAAUUCUUCUAGUAGUGAGGAUGAAGGAAACUAUAUGGCAUUUGUAUUGACUGUUAAGAGUGAAUUUGAUAAGCAGAGUGACAAGGUUGAGGAAGAACUUCCAAACGAUUAUUCUAGUAGUAAGGAUGAGGAUGAGAUAGACAUACAAGAAGCUUAUCAACUUUUAUUUAAAGAGUCUUAGAAUCAAAAAGGUCAAUAAAGUCCUACUCAAAAAGUUGAUGAACUUGAAAGAGAAAAAGAGAAAAUUGCUAGUAAUUUUUAGGAUUCUCUUAAGAGUGGUAGUGAGUUAAAGUGUGUCAAUGAGAAGUUAGAGGACAAGAUUAAGACUUUGACUAGUGAAUUGGAGAAAUCUAAUGCUCAUCUUCAGACUUUCGUGAUUAGGACUAAGAAAUUGGACAAUAUCUUGGGAAUGAAUAAGCCUGCAGGAGAUAGGAAGGGUCUAGGAUAUGUUGAGAGUAAUACACAUGUUGUUGGACCUUCUAAAACAGUUUUUGUUUCUGCCUCUAAGAAAGCUAAUGCUGUUAGUAGUUCAAAUAAGGGUAAGAAUGGUCCGAGAGAACAGAGUCAUCAAUCACGUAGGAACUCCAUACCUAGAUACCCACAGCCACGUACCUUUGAGCCUAGGUUCAUUCCCACCUGUCACCACUUUGGAGCUCUAGGACACACUAGACCUAGAUGCUAUAAGUUAGGUAAUGAGCGUAGAAAUCAGAACAUUCCUAGUCAGGUUAGCUUUCUGUCUAAUCAGGUUAGUCAUUUGACUGAGAUGCUUACUAAGCUUACUAGGAGUACUUUAUCAUCUAAGAAAGUUUGGGUCAAAAAGGGCGAUCUAGCUAGACAUUCAGGUCAAGAAAAGUGUUUCGUUGCUCAUGUUGCAUUAAAAGCCCAAAAUUACAAUAUGUGGUACCUAGAUAGUGCAUGUUCUAGGCAUAUGUGUAGUAAUAAGGCUUUAUUCACUACUCUUGAUGAAUGUAACGGUGGUAUGGUUACUUUGGAGAUGGGGGUUCUGCACCUAUUCUUGGCAAAGGUACUGUACAAAUGCAUGGCUUACCUGUGAUCUCUAAUGUGCUUUAUGUGGAGGUUUAAAAUCUAUCUUGUUAAGUAUUAGUCAAAUUUGUGAUGCCGAUUUUGAGGUGAGCUUUGUGCAAAAGAGAUGUACUAUGUAUGAUUCGUCUGGUGGGGUGGUUCUUGAAGGGGUUAGAACAACUGAUUAUUGUUAUGGAGUCUUGCCUAAUUCUAACUAUGUGUGUAGGAGUGCUAAAAUUGAUGUGAGUGAACUCUGGCACAAAAGGUUAGGUCACUUGAACCAUAAGAGUCUAGUACAACUAGCUAAGAAAGAGUUGGUAGAUGGUUUGUCUAAGAUAAGUCCUAGUGAAAAUGCUGUGUGUGGACCAUGUCAACUAGGUAAACAACUUAAGGAAAACCAUAAGAAGACUUCUAAAAUUCUGACCAAAAGACCUCUAGAAUUGAUACACAUGGAUUUAAUGGGACCAUCUAGGACUGAGAGUUUAGGAGGUAAGCGAUACAUUCUAGUUGUGGUAGAUGACUUCUCGAAGUUCACAUGGAUAGAAUUGCUUAGGAAAAAAUCUGAUGCAUGUGAUCUCAUAAAGUCUUUGUGCAAACAGCUUAGCAAUGAACUAAAUCUCAAAGUGUCUGGAAUGCAUAGUGACCAUGGAAAGGAGUUCGAGAACUUUAAUCUCGAAAGUUUCUGCAUGGAUGAAGGCAUAUUACAUGAGUUCUCUUCCCCUAUCACUCCUCAACAAAAUGGCUACUGUUAAGUACUUUCGAGUGUUUGGGAGUAAGUGCUACAUUUUGUGUGAUAGAGAGAACUUGAGUAAGUUUGAAUCGAAGAGUGAUGAAGGAAUCUUCUUAGGGUACUCUAGAAAUAGCCGAGCAUUUAGGGUGUAUAACUUACGUACUCGUGUGGUGAUGGAGUCAGUAAAUGUUGUGAUAGAUGAUGCUGUAAGUGAGGGGGAGAGUGUUGAAAAUUGUGAUAGAGAUGGUGAUCUUAUAAGUUCUAGUGAUCCUACUGAGCCAUCUAUGUCUGAAUCAUCUCUUGGGAAACCUGAAACACCUGAAAAGAAAACACUUCCCCAAGAUCGAGAUAAAGAUCCUAAGGAACCAUCGACUAGGGUUAAGUCUAAUCAUCCUAAGGACAAUAUCAUUGGGGAUCUAGAUGAAGGUAUGAGGCUUCAUAAGAGAGUACUGAACAAUCUAGCAUACACUAGCUAUGUAUCUCAGGUAGAACCUAAGAAAGUUGAAGAGGCCCUUGGUGAUGAGUGCUAGGAGGAUGCGAUACAUGAGGAGCUCAAUCAAUUUGCUAGGAACAAUGUGUGGAUCUUAGUUCCCAGACCUGAGAAUUGUAAUGUUAUUGGUACUAAAUGGAUCUUUAAGAAUAAGACAGAUGACCAAGGUACUAUAAUUAGGAAUAAGGCUAGAUUAGUUGCUCAGGGUUAUACUCAAGUUGAAGGAAUUGAUUUUGAUGAGACUUUUGCCCCUGUUGCACGACUUGAGUCUAUUCGGAUUCUGCUUGCUGUUGCUUGUACCUUAGGGUUCAAGUUGCAUCAAAUGGACGUUAAAAGUGCCUUCUUGAAUGGACUUCUUUAAGAAGAAGUCCAUGUCGAACAACCAAAAGGAUUUGUAGAUCCUAAAUUUUCCCACUAUGUCUACAAACUACACAAAGCCCUCUAUGGUCUAAAGCAAGCUCCUAGAGGUUGGUAUGAGAGACUUACAUCAUACCUUAAAGAACAUGGAUUCUCUCGAGGUGGUGCAGAUAGGACCUUAUUUAUUAGACAUGUUGAUGAAACUAUCACCAUUGCUCAGAUUUAUGUUGAUGACAUUAUUUUUGGCUCUCCUCUUGAGUCUUUAGCUUAUGAGUUUGCUGAGUGUUUGAAGCAAGAAUUUGAGAUGAGUAUGGUUGGGGAGUUGAGUUAUUUCCUUGGACUUCAGGUAAGACAGACAGAGGAUGGACUGUUCAUUUCACAGUCUAAGUGUGCUAAGGAUCUAGUUAAGCGCUUUGGGCUAGAUAGUAAGAAGCAUACUAGGACACCUAUGAGUACUAGCUUGAAGCUAGGUCGUGAUCCUUCAGGUAAGAUUGUAGAUCCUUCCCUAUAUCGAAGCAUUAUAGGUAGUCUUCUUUAUCUCACAGCUACUAGACCUGACAUUACUUUUAGUGUUGGUGUGUGUGCUCGAUUUCAGACAGAUCCAAAAGAAUCACACUUAAGCUCUGUUAGACGCAUCAUUAGAUAUGUGAGUGGUACAGUUGAUCUAAGGAUAUUCUAUUCUAGGAAUUCCAAUCUUGACUUGGCUGGUUACUCCGACGCCGAUUGGGCCGGGAACGCAGAUGAUAGGAAAAGUACGACAUGGGGUUGUUUUUACAUGGGUAGCAGUCUCGUAGCCUGGUUAAGUAAGAAACAGAAUUCUAUAUCUCUAUCCAUGGCAGAGGCCGAAUACAUAGCUGCAGUGAGUUGCUGCACUCAGCUUCUCUGGAUGAAGCAGAUGCUGAGUGAUUAUGGGAUUAGUCAAGGGACCAUGACUAUUUUCUGUGAUAAUACAAGUGCUAUAAAUAUUUCUAAGAAUCCCAUUCAACACUCUCGAACGAAACAUAUAGACAUACGACAUCAUUUUAUUCGUGAGCUUGUUGAAUCACAUGUAAUCUCCCUCGACCAUGUCUCUACUAAUAAUCAAUUGGCUGAUCUACUUACGAAACCACUAAACAGAUUGAGGUUUUAGUCGCUUCAGACGGUUGUUGGUGUUUGCUCACCUAUCUGAUCAUGGAUUCAUGCAUGUUCAUGCAUUCAUCACAUGUGAGUGUGUGAUGCAUUUUUUUUGUAAGUUUAGUCUUCUUUUGUGUGUUAUAUUCGUGUGUUUAAAUAAAAAAAUAAAAAUAAAAAUAAGAAUAAUAAAAUUAUAUAAAAAAAAAAUUUUGGGCCUUUAUGUAACGAUUAUGGCAUUUGCAUUAAAGAUCAAACUCUAUUUUUCUUCAUAUGUACGAGUCUGAGGUUCCAUCAUUGUUCAUUUUUUGAUUGUGGAGUUCUGGGUAUAUGACUCGUCAUUCAUUUAUACACAGCACACACUGUAGUCCUGUAAGUGAGUCUUGACCGCAUGGGUGAGAUUUGGGAUGGUGUUCUUCUAUGAUUGGGGUUGUAUGUACAUUUGACGUGAUCUGGGACGAGUGUAACCUAAUCAAUAUUGUCUUUCCCCAAUUUUAUUUUGUUAUUUGUUGAACUUAUGACUAUCUUUGGGGCCUACUUGACUGAAACAAUUAAGCCUGAGGGGUUUCUAACAUGGUGCCCUUUGGUCGUCUGACUUGGGAAUCACCGGCCCAAAGUUCGUUACAGGGGUCAUUUAUGUUGCCUAAUGAGGAUUUCAUUGCACUUAAGUUCUUUUGUUAUUCUUAUUUUAAAAAAAAAUGGAAUCAUACAGUUAGGGGGAGUAAAAUUGUGACAAUCAUAAUAAUUGAUGUAGGUCCUCAUGGAAUUGAAUUUGACUGUCACUUGGUAGACAUUCACCUUUGUCUGGUUGUUUUCACGUGUCCUUUCUCACUAAUUUAAGGUUUUGAGUCUAACUUGCAUGGGCUACGUGGCACGUUUCACGAUGAUGUUCUGUAUACACUUUCCUCCACAGGAUUCUGAACUAUGUGUGGACUUACGAUUUGUCUACGUGCUGGUUGUCGGGUUUGUGAUUUUAUGCUCAUUGUUGGUUUCGAUUGCAUAUUUGGUUCCAUGCUAUUUUUUUUUGUUUUUUUUUUUUGGAUUAUUUUCCACUAUUACGUAGUUCGCUUGUUUUUGAAAAUACAUGGUUUAGGGCAAAUUUCGUAAUUUGUUGAACAUUGUGCCGUGUUUCUUAAAAUUCAAAUUUCUAGUGCUAUUUUUGACAUUUAGUUUCUCGCUCGAGUUUCGCCUAGCCUUCGCUCGAGCUACAAAAGCAGUUUGCUUGUCGCCCGAAUCUCGCUAAGGCCUCGCUCGAGCGACAAGUCAAUUUUAAAAGGUCCUGUUUCAUUUUUUCGCGCAACUUCUUCCAUUUCACUCUUGUUUUUUCGUUUCUUCUUGACUUCUUCCAUAUUUCGUCCAUUGAUCACAUAAAUUUGGGGCCCUAAAACAAUUAUUCUUCCGGAUUUCCAUUGCUACACAUAAAAUUGAGGUAUUUUUUUCUUUUUUCGUUUUUUUUCUUUCAUUGUCCUCGUGUGUUUUGCUUCUUUUUGUGUUCUUACUUGAUUGUUCCUUCAUUAAUGUAGGCUUCGUCCUUCCUUUGUUUCAUUGGAUGUUAUUUCACAUGUUUUGCAUCACGAUUUCCAUUGAAUUGUUCGUUUUUCAUUCAUUUGGUUAUGUGGUUUUCAUGUUUUUCUUCCAUUUUCAUUAAGUCCGUUCUUGCAUUUUGUUACUCCGUUUCUUGUGUGGUUUGUUUCAUUUUAAAGAGCAUGUUUUCUAGUUUGUGGGACUGUACUUGGUUGUGUGGUUGCGUCUCGUAUGUACUUGGAAUUGUGUACCAAAGUGAUGCACGCCACAUGUUCGAUGCAAGUCCAUAGUUAUAUGUUUUUUUUGUUUCCUUCAUUUUUGUGCUUCUAUUUUCUUUCUUUCCUUUCCGUCGUUGUUUCAUUGCCCUCUCGUGUCAUGUUGAGUGUUUUUACACAUAUUUUUGGUGUAUAUUUACAUCAUGCUUCGUUUGCUCUACGGGUCGUUCACAUUUUUCGAUGCAUCUCUUUCAUGCCUCGUUUGAGUGUGCAGUGUUUCACAUCAUAGUGCAUCGUACCACAUGCAUUCUUCAUCUUACUUAUUAGUUCCGUCUCUCCGUAUGCCAGAUGGCCCGUAACCGUUCUCGAUCCUCUGCACUGCCAGUUGGUGGUUCGACGUCGUAUAGUCGUUCCAGAUUCAUUUCUGCUACAGCUCAGGAGGUCUUCACUUCUCAGUUCUCCUUACGCCCCGUUCUCAAGGAGCGUGAGGUAAUCUUAUCUGACCUUCCUGUUGAUAUCGUAGCCAUUUUUGUUUCUCGGGAUUGGGGGCCCCUUCUUGUUUGUCUUUCACCUCCUCCCCCACUCCUCGUUCAGGAAUUCUAUGCUAAUAUUCAUGAUAUAGACGGCUCGUCUUUUUGGGUUACUCUUAGAGGUCAUUCUUUUAGGGUUACUCCGUCGACUGUAGCUCAUGCUUUAGGUAUACCUCAGAUUACCCAUCCAACUUAUCCCUAUAUUUUACCUGCUUUUAUUUCAACCGAUGCUCUUGUUCGGUCGAUGCUUUUGAACACCCCGUCUAUCGGGGAGCCUUCGACGAUGGUCACGGGGUCAUUACCUACUGAUCGUCAGGUGUUGUUGCGCAUAGUGUGUACAAACCUGUGGUCGGUUGUCCAUACCUCUUCAUUACCUAUGGUGCGUGCCCAUUUUCUUUAUGCCCUUCUUCAUGGGGACUCGAUCGACUUUCUUAGUUUUGUGUGCCAGAAUAUUCUGGCUUCAUUUCGUACUCCUGGGAGUCGGAUCGGGUUGCCUUAUGCUUGCUUGAUUCAUAGGGUUGCUUUGUCGUUGGGUGCUUCCUUUCUAGAGGGUUCGACUUGUCACAUAGGACGUCCGAUAGGACAGCAGACCAUUCAUCAGAGUCGAUCUCAUGUAUCAUCAUCUUCCUCUUCUACUCAUGCUACAAGUCAGGCAGCGGCCGUUGAUGUUUUUGAUAUUUCGGAGCCCUUUGAUCCUAUUACUGAGAUUCUUACUGGGGGUUCCCGUGUGUUUCUCCUGCCUCGUACGGAUUUUCCUUCGGCCAUUCCACUUAGUUCUACCUUUCCUUCGACAUCUACUUCUGCUCCUGGGGUGGCUGCUUUGCUCGUUGACCCCAUGGUGACGCUUAUGGGACAGAUGUCUACUUUGGUCGAGCAACAGGCUCGUAUGAUGGCAGAGAUCACGCAGUUACGUGCUGCGUCGGAGCGUCAGUCAGCUGAGCUUUCUUCUAUUCGCCGUGCCCUUGCAGUGUGUCAGUGUCAUUUGCGUUGGAUUCGUGAUAGUAUGGAGGAGGACACGAGUGCUGAGAGCGGAGCUGAGUCUUCAGAUGUUGGAGGUGCUGCCUCGUAGUUAGUUAGUUAAUUGUUUUGAUCCUUUGUCCUUUGUGACAAAAAGGGGGAGUAGAUAUUUGGAUAGAUGAUUGGAUAGAUAGAUAUCGAUAUUUGGAUAGAUAGAUAUAAAUUUUUUGGUGACUAGAUUAAGUUUUUGAUGUUUUGGCAAUACUAAUGUAUGUUUUUGGUGUUUUUGACUUACAUUAUUAUUGCUUCUUAAUCUGGUUAAUGAUAUAUGAUCUAUUUCUUGUUUUUAUUUACUGUUUCCAUUUCACAUGCUUUUACACUUGGUAUUUGAGUUUUUGAUUUUCAGGAAACAGGUUCAACAAGAGAUUGCUAAUUUGGUUGAAUAGAUAGGUUGUUUGGAGUCAUGUCUAUUUCUUCCUUGACUGUCAUAUGUAUUUUUGUCACAGAAUGCCAAAGAGGGAGUUUGUUAGGAAAAUGUGUAAUUGGCAAUCUGUGACCAAAGGACCUAUUUGUCAUGUUUGUAAAGUCAGGGACAAAAUUAUAAAGGUCUAAUAGUUCAGGGACUAGAGUUGCAAUUUAAUAAAUUUCAUAGCAUAGGUCUAGGGUAAAGUGGGAUGCUUUGAAGAUGCAAAUGGCGCGUUGAUUUCGCUAGAGUUUCGCCCUGACCUUGCUCGAGCCAAAAUUGUAGAACUGAUCUCACUGGAGUUUCGUUGGGCAGUCGUUCGAGCGAAGAGUGAGAUUUUGUUGGGCAGUCGUUCGAGCGAAGGUGCGUCGCUCGAGUUUCCCCAGCACCUUGCUCGAGCGACGGUGUUAUCUGGCCAUUGGUAAUUUUAAUGCCUCGCGAAUUUUUAACACUCCAUAUUUCCAAAUUUGACCUACUAUAUAAACAAAACGUCCGAUUUUCAUUAAAUACUUUUGGAAAACAUUCAAACAAGAACUUCUUUUAACUUCCAAAGGAUUUAGAGCCAAACAUUCGAUCUUUCUCAUCUUUUGAUUCUCAUGAUUUUUGAAUAAAAACAUCAACCAUCAACCAAAAACACCCCUUCAUAUCUCCAUAUCAACUUCCAGAAGAUCAUUUGUUUGAAGAUCCAGGAAGGAAAUUGCUUGAAGAGCUGGAAUGCUUGGUGAUUCACGGGAAGUAGAAGAUAUUCAAGGUUGGGAUUUUGGCGCAGAUCUGCAGAAUUCAGGAGAGCUUUGGUUGAUACAGUAAGGAGGUCAGAGAAUUGUUAGUUUCAAUUAUGUCUGGCGUACUGUAAGUCAAUAUCUUCGAUAGCGAAUCUCUACUGGCUUGUGCCCGGAGUUUUUACCCAGUUGGAUUUUCUCCGUCAACAUUUUGUGGUGUUUUUACUUUUUUUGUUAUUUAUUUUUCAACCGGUAAUUCAACUUAAGUAGAUAAAGUAUGUGAAUGAAUCUAGACAAUGCAUAAUUUAUGUGACUUGUUACAUAAGUUAAUUAAUUAUUUUAAUUCCACAUAAACACCUAUUCACCCCCCUUCUAGGUGUUGAUUGGGUCGAACUAUAUCUUUUUCAUUCUAUCUUCAUUUGACAAGCCUUCAUUGAAUUGGUUUAAACCCAACGAAGGGUAAACAUAUUUUUCCCACAGAAUAUUCGGGCCACUAGAAAUCAAAACCCUAAGAGGAUGAAAAGUUCUCAAACCAUGUUGCAAAUAGUUCAAUCCCACCAACCUCCAAAGCAUAGUAUUGUGGAUUUUGUUUUUAGUAGACACAAAAAUUAUGCUACAUCAAUGGUAAUAAGUGUGUUUUUGCACACUUAUUUAGGUCACAAACAUGACUUAAUUACGAAUAAAAUGAUUGAGUUGUGACUUAAUUUCAUUACAUUUGUGAAUUGUAGGUAACACCGAUGAACAUGGUGAAAUACAUGAGAAAAGACGCGAAAAAGGACUAAAAUGACACAAAGUGAAAGUUCAAGGACCAAGGUGCAAUUACCCAAAAGUUGACCCAAUGAACAAAUCAAGAAAUUGAGUUUGUCAAAUACAAAUUGAUGACAUUUUGGGAUGAUGGAAUGUGAAGAAUGAAGAAAAGAUGCAAAGAAGUGGAAGAUUCAAGUAAAAUGACCAAUUUGUAGGAAAUGAAAGAUUAAUUCUACCAUGCGGUCGCAUGGUAGAAAUGUCGUGCGGCCACACGAAGUGAUGCAGGAAAUUCAACUGAAAAAGAGGAUAAUCAUACGAUCGCACGGAUUAAAACCAUGAGGUCGCAUGGUACAAUUUCAGCGCGAAUCUUUUCUUUCCUUAUAGGAUUGAAAUACCUAUGGAAACCUAAUUUUCCACGGGAUAUAAAUAUCAAAAACAUUCCAAAGAUGCCCAGAACGUAAUUGGAGGCCAAAAAACAACUCUUGGAGAGGAUUUGAGCUCAAGAACAAAGAUUGGCACAAAGAACUUCAAGAUUUAUUCAAAUUUUAUAACUCGGUGAUGUCUUAUAUACAAACUAUGAUGUAUUUUGUUAUUCUAAUCAUGCUAGGCUAGAUUUUUAUUGUGCUAGGAGAUCGAUGAACCAUGUGAUUUGAAUUUUAAUAUUCUAGUUUUGCAAUUUUCAUUAAGACACAAUUUUUAUUGUGUUGAAUGAUUUAUAUGCAAUUAAUGUUUCUGUAAUUAAGAGCUCGUAAUUGUAUGAAUUUAAGUGAUUUAUUCUUGCAUUCGAGAGAAUUGGAAUAGAUUUGACAUAAUAUAAAUCAUCGUAGGGUCCGAUAGUGAAUAGAAAUAUACCGCUAUGCUUUACGUGAAUUUUUAAAUGUUUAUAAAAUCGCAUGCAUUUUUACAUAUGCUCUUGUCAUAGAAGUAUAGACCGGUGGUAUGUAGAGAUAUGUUUGAUACAUCUCGAGAGAGAGUAUCGGAUAGACUUAAGGAACAUUGAUUCGUCAAAAUUGAAAUGUGUUGUCAUAUUGUGAAACUAGGAUUUAAAGUGAUAAUUGCAUGAAAAUUCAUGAUCCUAGCGUAUUUCAUUCCUAAUAAUUAUAAUAAUGUGCGUUCUCAACUUUUAGAUUUCAUUCUAGAGUUUUAAAUUAUUGUUUUGCAUAUUAAUUUCAAUUUAAUCAUAAAAAAUUGCAUAAUUGGGGUUUAAUUAGGUCUACAUUUACUUUGAUUAUUUAGUUUUGGUUAAGGCUACGGUAGGUCAAAUUUGAACUAACCAAUCUCUAUAGGACGAUAUUCGGACUCAUUUAAUCCACUUUAUUACUUAUUAACGAACCGUGCACUUACGGUGGUCUAAAAUCGAAAUAAAUAAUUUCGCGAACAAAUGGGUUAACGUUUUCAAAAUUUUCAUGGUGAAAUUGAAGGUGGGUACAACAAUGGCUUUUUUACAACGGAAUAACAAUAUCCUACCGUUUGACAACUUCUUGAAGCCUGAAGCAACAGCUUUGUGGUGGAAGCGAGUCAUUAUGAAUGCCUCCAAAGCAUGAAAGAUUCGUAUAACUAUUUUGGAUUAGUAUUAAUUAUGUAAAAGAAAGGCGAGAAAAUUUUAAGAAAAAGGAGAAAUGUAAAAUUAACAAAUAGUGGCUUCAAUAGAUGAUUGUAGCGAUAGUCACUGUAUUUGAUGAUUUGUCUUUAACUAAAUAAAUGGAAAAGUAGGAAAGGGCUUAUCUAUAGAUAACAAGGCACAGAUAUCGGAUUUGAUACACUGGAUUGAAGCUGUGAGUUACUCUUUCUUCUUGCCAUCUUAGAGUUUUUCAGGUUAGCUUAUCCUCAUGGUGAUCGUUUGUCCUCUCAUCGUAACAUGUUUUUUGGCCAAGACAUUAUAAGGUGUAUGAUAACUAGACGUCAUUCUCAUCUUCCUCAUGACAGCUUGUAAUUGAGAGUCUGUUUUCCAGAGUUUAAUUGUCUUCACUUAAUUACCAGAUUUUGAAAUUGUAUUGUCUGAACUUUUUCCUGAUAAUGGCCCUUUGAUGAUAAUGAUAUUUGUGAAGUUAACGUGAGGAAGUUAUGCUAUUUUAUGCAGAUUGAUCCAAGGCAUCGAUAUGGGAACAACUUAAAUCUAUAUUUUAAAGAGUGAUUUCAAAGCUCUACCAAUCAAAAUUUCUUUUUCUGGUGAGAGAAGUUUGAAAUAAUUUGCUGAAUUCAAACACAGCAGUCAAGUAGUGUUGUCAAAUGAGUCAUAUCAAAUUUGUUUUUGCUUCUACUUAUAUUGUCAAAAUGAAUGAGACUACACUUUGUUUUUACACUGAUAAUCGCGUUUGAUUAUUGCGUUUUGCAUUUAUUUUAUUGUGAACAAGUGUUCAGUUGGUUCUAUAUUACUAAAGUUGAUAACACAUUAAUUGAAACUUCGACAUAUCUAUUUUUUAACAGGUUGGAUUUUGGAGAUGGCAAAGAGGUUGAUCUUGAAGUGUGCACAAGAUCAAAUCUUGAUCAACAAUGCGUCAAGUAUUUUGGACUAGUAUGCUAUCAAAAUUGCUUUACCUUUUGCACGAGAUUUCAUUUUUUUCUUAACAUUCAUGGCAUGUUAAACGCAUAUCAUUGGAUAGUAAAAGAAAAUUUGGAGCUAAAAUCUUAUUUAUUAAAUUGUUAAAUCAAGCGCGUUAUAAUCUUAUGUUAUUCUUGUUUCCAUUUUUUCCUAUUUCAUAUUACUAAUUGCUUUUGAUAAUACAAAUUAUUCAAUUUAAUCUAUAAUAAUCUACGAGUUUUCUAAAUAUGUACUUAAUGAAUAGAGUGUGAUGUAACUUUUUAGUGAUCUCUUGAUCAUAUUAUGGAUAAAGUAACUAUAUUUCUUAAAUGUUAUUCUAUUCUAGCCCUUGCAACAUUUUUUUUUUUUUUUAUUCUUCUUUGAUGUAAUCAGCAAGAGAGAGAAUAUUACAAGUAUGUGGUCGUUGAUGGAAAAAUAUUGCACAAUAUAACCAGAACACCUCUUCACCAUGUAUCGCCACACUUGAAAUAUAUCUUUUUAGUGAGCACAUCCAAGAAACUCUACAUUGGAGAGGUAAGGUCUUCCCCCUCCCCCCACUCAACACCUAUAUUUUUAGAACACUCAGAAAGAGAAAGGAAUUUUCCAUCAUUCAAGCUUUCUUGCGGGAGAAACUACUUUAACUGUUGGGAGACUCUUGGUAGAAGAUAAAGUACUUAAGGUAAAUUCCGGGCAGUUUUGUACUUUAAUUUCUUGAUAAAAGCGUAGAACAUUUUUAUAAAGUCCUAAAGUGUACCAAAACAAGGCAAUGACCUUAAGGUCAAAUUUAGGCGAUAAUAGUUUUUCAUUAACAAUUCAAGCAGUUGAUCUUUUCAAAUGCAUUAGAUUGGCAAGGAGACGCAAGGCGUUCAGUGUCCAUGUCUUUAGUUUUCCAAGGCCUUACUACAUUCAUAGUUUAGAAUGGUUUUCUAAUUAAGCCAAAUUUUAGUAGAUUUUGAUAAAAUUUGUUAAAGGAAAAUUCUACUUGUACAUAAUUAUUGCACAUAAUGGUGUCCAUAAUGUGAUAUGACAAUCAUUUGAUUGUUGAUGUUCAAGUGUGAGAUUUGAAUUAAAGGUUGGAUCCAGUGCCGCGUGUAAUUAUGGACAUCAUUAUGUAGACAAUUAUGUACAUGUAGCACUUCCGCUGUUAAAAUGUAUGGUUGAAAAAUUGUGAGUCCUAUAAAAUGUAUGGUUAAAAUUAGUUGUUGAUUUUGACUCAAAUUAAAAUCUGAAUUUUAAUUUGUAUCAAAUGAGGGCUAAAUAUAGGGACUAUAUACAAGUAUUUAUUAGGAAAUCUUUAUGUGAUAGGAAAGAGCAUUGAGUCAAGGUUCCAACCAAUUUUAAGAUUCUUAAGUUAAAUAGGUAUUGUAACUGUUAAUGAACGUCAAUAAUCAAGGAUAAAGGCUUGUACAUUCUUGUUUACGAUCACUAGUGAUAAUUUAACAGGAAAAGGAAAGAGUAUCCCUAAGAAUGGUUAUUGUAAUAAAAUAUAUUAGAAUAAGAAAAAGGUACGGCAAAAAAUAAGACUGGGGUUAUAACUAAAUGAAAGAGGUGUUUCCAUUGUCAAGAAGUCUGAUUUAAGGAAUAAAAUGUCUAAAAGUGAAGUUGGACCUGCUUUACGAGGAUAAUAAGCAUUGACGUAGUCUUCACCCAUAUUGUUGUAAUUUCCACAUGUGCAAUAUAAGAUAUUGGUUCAUGAUUUUGAUAGAUGGUCAAGUUCUAAUGGGAAAUCACACCUCUUGUCAAGCAAAAGGAAUAUGUACUAUAUGACUUAAAAUUAUACUAAUCACUUGUUAUAGUGGACACUAUUUAAGAGAAAUUUGCUAUUUAUACUAAAAUACUGAACCAACCAUAGGUUCCACUACCGCAACUAUCUCAAAUCUUAAAGAUAAAUCACAACUGGGGCAUCAAAUGAUGGGCCACAUUAGUGACAAAAGUCUUCAACUUCUAGAAGUACAUGGUGUGGUGUUUGGAAAUGAUUUUCUUACGAAAAUUAAUUUUGUGUGAAAUGGCAUUUUGGAUAAACAAUGUAGAUUGCAUUUUCUGCCCUGUGUUCAAAAUCCGUUAGUAUUUUUGAAUAUAUGUGUUAAUUAAUAGGUGUCGGCAUUUUUGCCUACAAAUUUAGCUCUUGUUUGAACCCAAUUUCUUCUUUUUUUCCAUAUUACUCAUUUUCAACCAUACAUUCUUUAUUAAAAUAAUAUUACACGUAAAUAAACAAAAAUUCUUCUUUUUUAACUAUACAUUUCCAAUCAAUUUACUAUUUCAUAAUACAUUACAAGAAAUUAAUGGGGCUCAAACAUGGCCUUAGUUUUAGAUACAUUACGUAGAUGAUAAUUUUUUUAUCUUCCACCGAGGUAUUAUAUAUUGCUGACAAAUAUGUGAUUAAGGGAUUUGACUCCACAUGAGGCGUCGAUUGGACUAGGUUGUGAUGAAUAUAAAACUUGCAUGUUCUGAGACAUCACAUUGGUAUUUAUCUUUGUAAGAAUCAUGUCUUCCCUGACAUGAGCAAAUAUAUAGAUGUUUGGUUUCAUUUUGCUAUGGAUAUUGUUUCUAAUGGAUUAAUUAAACUUGAGAAAGUAUAUAAAACGGCUAAUCCAGUGGAUGUAGGAAUAUUUGGAAGUAUUGCCAGGUCCUAAAUAUAUGACAAGCAUAAAACCCAAAAUAGGGCACCCCAUAAACACCGGGCUAAGGCUACUAGUACAUCCAAAUGUAUACACCUUUAUUGACACCUCCUAUGUGUCAAAUAAUUAACUAUUGAUUGAAAAAUAUGUUGUUAGUAUCAAUAUAUAUACCGAAAUCUACCAACUCAUGAGGUGUAAUUUAGGUAUUAACUAUUGUACCUGUACACGAAGCCUAGGCCCUAUACACCAAGCCUUACGUUUAAAACUUGGAAGGACGAAAGCUAAUAGAGCACAUUGGAAUGUGAAGCCACACCCAUUUUGCUAAAUACAUUUUUGAUCUAAUGCAACCUCUUUACUUUCUUUAGUGCAUCUCACCUUCCAGUGGACAUUAUCAGCCAACUAAGGAUAGCCUUGAACGAUUUUUAUCGAUUCUCAAGGAAAAUGGAGUCAACCUCGAUGAAAUCCAGGUGCAUCAUCUGCUUUUUCUGCAUAUUUUUUCCUGUGAUUCAGUAUUUGAACUAAUAGUGUUGUUGUCUCAUAUCUUGAUAGAUCCGGAAGGCGAAUGAAGACUUUUGGGGUGCAUAAGUCUAGAUUUGCCUCCGAAACUGCUGAAUUAUACCUGCAGCAAAGAAUGGGGCCAUACCUAUAUAUAUAUAAUAGGUCUCAUAUAAUUGAAUGGGGAAUUGUAAACUUACAUAUAUGUAUAUGUAAUAAUGAUGUGUAACUUGAGGGUACCAGAAUCAUCUGCAGAAUGAUGAGUUGAAGAGAAAUAUAUGUAAUGUUGGUGUGUGUAUCAGAAUCAUCUGUAGAAUGAAGAAUUGAAGACAAAUAUUUGUAAUAAUGGUGUGUAACUUGAGUGUACCAGAAUCAUCUGAAUUAUGGAGAAUUGAAGAGUCAUAGAGGUGUGUGACUUGAAUGUACCAGUCAUCUGGAGAAUGGAGAAUUAAAGAGAAAUAUAUGUAAUGACGGUGUGUGACUUGAGGCUAACAGGGUCAUCUGUAGAAUGCAGAAUUGAAGAGAAAUAUGUGUAAUAACGAUGUGUGACUUGAGGGUAACAGAAUCAUCUGCAGAAUAUGGAAUUGAAGAGAAAUAUAUGUAAUAAGGUUUUGUGAGUUGAGUGUACCAGAAUUAUCUGCAGAAUACUCUAAUAAACUCUUUUGCUCUCUCGGGGAUGGGGUUUAUAUCCACUUUAUUCCUCCAUUAAUAGAGUUUGACGGAUUCUAUACCCAUCAGUGAAUAGGAAACAGCCACAUCUUCAUCGGAAACAACUGGUGUAAAUGUAACAGUUAGAAUUAACUCUAAACAAGUAAUAAAUAGACAAGUUAUGGUCAAUUGCAAGCUUACUGGGGACUCCUCUCAAGUUAGAUCUCUCAUCCUAAUAUGGCACCAUUUUUGGUCGCGAUUGAUCUGUCAAAGUCUAAAAUCAAAAGAGUCCGGACUGGGGAAAUAUUUUUUUGAGAAUAAUCCACUCCAUUAGUCGUUCUUCAUGGUAUGGACAAGAAGUAUGAAACUGAAAAUGAGGAAAAGGAGGUUCAAGCAGCAGAGAUAGGCAGGAGUUAAUGGGACUGGGGGAAGAUUUGCAUGGAAAUGAUUACGUAGUGAAAAUUUGCAUGCAGUUUCAGGUUUUGAUAUGGCUGGCUAGGGUCAAAAGGGUGACAGUGCUGGAUUGGAUCAUAAUCUUUAAUUGGAGCAGAAUUUGGGCCCAAAUGGGUUAACGGGAUGGGGGCGGAUUUGGAAAAAAUUAACAAGCCGGGCAUUAAAUAUAUAUGAGCCAAUUCAAUUUCAGAUCUUAAACCCCCUUUUGAUGCCAAAUAAAAUCUAGAUUUUAAUUUAAAUCAAAAUCAAUAAUUCAUUUCACUACAUAUUUUAUGGGUCCCAUAAUUUUUCAACUACAUGUUUCAUCAACUUGUAUUAAAAUCUACUAAAAACCUGAUUUUAAUCUCCACUAAAUAGAGACUAAAUUUUAGAAUGAAAAACUCAGGUAUUAAUUAAUUAUUUAAUUAUAUUAAUUAUAUUUUAUUAAUUAAAUAUAUUAAUGUCACAAUUAUACAAUUAAUGAUCACAUAUGCGUACUUAUACGUUGCAAUAUCACAUCUUAUCAAAUUAAUCAGUUGCAAAUCAUGGUAGCAAUAAAAAAUGUUAAUCGGUUACAACAAAUUUUUUUAAUCUGUUACAAUUUAUUUCAUCGGUCACAAAUCAUAAAUUUAUAGGUCACAAUUUAUUUGUCGGUUACCAAUUUUUAAAUUAGAUAGUCACAAAUUUAUUUUUUUCAAUUACAAAUUAUCGGAUUUUUAGGUCACAUUUAAAUAGUUGGUCACAUAUAACCAAAUAGUUGAAAAUGAAUAAAUUGUGCCCUUGUUUGGUAUGAAUUAAAAUCAAAAUUUUAAUAGAUUUUAAUAAAAUUUGAUAAAAUAUGUAGUUGAAAAGUUGUGAAUCCCAUUAAAUAUGUGAUUAAAAUUAAUUAUUGACUUUGACUUAUUUUGAAAGUAAUCAAAAUCUUAAUAUUGUAAUAACUAUUAAUUAACUGUUUUGCUUUUGAGUAGUUAAAAAGAUAAAAUAUUUAAACAUAUUUUGCCCUUGUUUGAUGAAAACUAUCGGAGCUGACCUUAAAAGUUGUGAAAUCCUAGGUGACUCUUUAUUAUGAGGCCUUAAAUGUAAAUUUUUUACAAGUGUAAAAUACUUAAAUAUUUAAAUAAACAAUAUAUUUAUAUUUUAAACAAAAACUUGGUACCAUCCAAAAGAUGAAGUAGUAGAAAAUAUUAUCUCGACAACUCCAGAGACUAGGAUAACAUAAUAUUUAGCAAAAUUGUUUAGUUAGUGAAGAAAUAUUAUUAGAGUGUAAAUAUAAUCUACAUAAUUAUUAUUUGGGAAAACUCAAGUAAGGUGCAAUUUAGAGAUAAUGAGAAAUUUUUAAGAAACAUAAUUUUAAAUCCUAAGAAUAUUGUAAGGAAGAUUCGUAAGAAGAAAAAGUGAUUUUCAAUUGUGAAAAGUGCAAAGUUUAGGGACUAGAUUGCAAAAUAGUGAGAAAUAUAUACAAUGAUUUUGAUUCGUAAACCUUUUAAUAAAUUUGAGAUAUUGAUGAACUAAGGUAGAAGUAAUGGAUUUGGACUAAAUGUGUAUUUAUUAGAGAAUUGGGGGUUAGCCUAUCAGUAUUGAACUCAUUUCGAAACUUUUAAUAAAUGGCUUAUUAUAGAAUAGAGAGAGAAAAUUAAUUUUGAUAAGCCAAAUUCAAGUUAUAACUCAUUAAAGUAAACUACUUGAUGUGUAAUAUUAGUUAAUAUUGGGUUCAUUUGGUAGCUCGUAGUUAAUCAUGUUAUUAAACUUGAGAAAAUUUAUUUGAAUAAAAUCGAACAAGUUAAAAUUGACAAAAAAGUUAAAAGUUAAAUGAAUAUUUAAUCAAUCCAUCUAUUAAAAAUUAGUAUGUUAAUUGAACCUUCUAGCAUGUAGUGUUUUUCAUGUUGAAGCCCUUUUAGAUUUGAGCCCCAGGACAUUACCUAAUUGGAAUUAGGCCUGGGGUAGCUCUGAUAAUUAUUGUGUAGAAAUGAUAUUUUGAAUAAUUUUUUUGGAGAAUGUAGCUAAUAAGUGGGAAAAAGUUUUGUACUUGCGUGAAAAAUAUUUUAUCGUAUGAAAAUAUGAUUGAAAAUGAGUAUGAGAAAUAAAUUAUUUUACUUUAAAGGGAGUCAAACGGGAGUUUAGAAACAAAAAAUUAAUUAAAAAAUAAAUAUAAUUUACUUUCAGCUUAGCCAAAAAAUGACACGCCCUACUCCAAAUAAUGCUAAUGGACCUAGAACGUGACGUGCACCAAUAAUAGACACCAAAUAAAAGUUGAACUCACAAUCAAUGCUACAACAACUACAAUAUGCAACUUCUUAUAAACUAUUUUUAAUAGAAUUUCAGCAUUAUUUCCCCUGUAAAUAGGACCAACUGAUUUGUAAAUUAUUGUGCAUCAAUCCCAAAUAUAAUACAACACAAUAGAGAUAAGCCGAAAUCUCAAUUUUACUAUGAAAAUAACAUGAAAUGUACAUAUAAAUACAAAAUACAUAGUGAGCACAUAACUAUCUAUAAGUGAUGUAAAAUCACAUCUAAACAUAACACAUGCAUCCCAAAACAUAGAUUACAUGCUCUAUAAAGUGUGUCAUACUAAUAAACUCUGUCGGGUGGCUCUGACUCCAAAAUCAAAUACUCAACUCCAAAAGAUGCAUAGAUACACAACUGCUGCUUGAUAAGAAAAAAAGUGGAAAAAUAUAUAAUUUGAUAGCCCAGUAAGUGGAAAAGUUCGAAAAUAAUUAUACUUUUUCAUUUAUACAUUUUUAUCGAAAAUCGAAUUCAUAUCAUUUAAAAAUUCACAGGAUAAAAUCAUAUAAUUAUAGCUAUAAAGUACGACAUUUACAUAGCAACAUAAAAAUAGAGUUUAAAAGUCAUGAUGUAAACAUCAGCUCAUACCGAUACUAUAAUCUCAUCCCAUCGAAUAUACUAAAAAAUUCACCAAACACCUGCCAUCUAACUGAACUAGGUAAUUUGGUCAUACGCACAUAGAAUACCCCUUGGGCUAAGCACUCAUACAACACGAGCUUCAAUCUCCUUCGGUGAACAGAAGCGGACCUUCUCAUGAUCAAUUAUAGAAUACAAUCAAGGCCUUUUAAUGAACUAUGUAUAUACACGAUCGAGACCCCUUUAUCCCCAAUCAAGACCCCUUAGUAUAGUAUGGAACACAGUCAAUGCCUCUCAGUGAACUAGAAGAAGUAGAUAAUCAUGAAUAUUUUUCUGGUCGAUCUCAAUAUCGCAUAUGUCUCUCGUACAUAAAAAUUACAAAUAUAUCAUAUACAAUCGUUGAAGUUUCACAAGUAUCAUAGAAAAGAAUUUCCAUAAUAAUCAUAUAAUCGAAGACAUAGUUGCACAUAAUAUAAUAGUACAAUUAAUUAAUUAAUAUUUAAAAAAUAUAUGAGUUCUUCCACUUAUAGAACUGUGUGUAAAAUCAACUCAGUUGAUAAGCUGUCCAGAUAUUUGUAUUGCCUCCUGAAAUAUGAUUUAAUUUUUCGAUUAACAAUUAACUAUUUUGCGAAUUCAGAUUUUUUUGUAAUAAAUCUAGAGGCGUUCUUGGAUUAUCUCAGAAAACCUACAUUGAUCGAGUUUUGAGUAGGUUUAAUAUGCAUUCUUGUUUUCCUGGAAAAGCACCUAUCGUGAAAGGUGAUAAUUUUUUUCUAAGUCUCAAUGCCCUAAGGAAGAUAAUGAGAGGACUCAAACGAAAACAAUUCCCUAUUCUUCAUUUGUGGGUAGUUUAAUGUAUGCUCAAGUAUGUACACGGCCUGACAUUGCAUGUGCUGUCAGUGUACUUGGGAGAUACUUGAGUGAUCCUGAUUUAACUCACUAGAAAGCUGUAAAGCAAGUACUUAGGUUCUUGCAAGGCAUUAAAGAUCUAAUACUUACAUAUCGAUGAUCUAGCAUUCUCGAUGUAGUUGGAUAUUCAGAUGCUGGUUUGUAGUUGUUUAGAUGACAGAAGGUCUACUUCUGGUUAUGUUUUUAUGAUGGUAGAGGGAGCUGUUUCUUGAAAAGUGUAAAAAGGACAAUUGUUGCCUCCUCUAUAACAGAGUCAGAGUAUGUGGCUUGUUAUGAGGCUUCAUGUCAGGCUAUAUCGUUGCGGAGCUUUAUCUCGGGGCUAGGUAUAGUGAACACCAUUUCGAGGACCCUAAAGAUAUUUUGUGACAAUUGUGCAGCGGUUGUUUUCUCUCGAAAUACUAGGAGUUCUUCACGCUCUAGGCAUAUUGAUAUUAGGUAUUUAUUUGUAAGAGAGAAAAUAAUUGAGUCUUAUAUUUGAAUUGAGCAUAUUUCGAUAGAUCAUAUGUUAGCUAACCCACUAACUAAAGGUUUUGCUCCAAAAUUGUUUCAGGAGCAUGUGGCCCAUUUGAGAUUGUUAGUCUUAAGUUGUAUUUGAUUAGUGGGAGUUCUGUAAUCAUCGCUAUUUUACCAUAUUAUUUAGGCUCAUAUUCUAUUUUGUUCUUAAAAUAUAUUAAUGUCAAUGAAUGCCUGAGUCACGCGCAUUUUGGACAAGGCAUACUUCAUGUAUUGAGACAUUUUGAUCAAUCUUGUGCAUGAGUCACCUGCAUUUGGACAAGGCAAAGUUUUUAUAUGUAUAUAAUGAGACAUUUUGACCAGUCUCAUGUUUGAGUCACGCGUAUUUUUGGACAAGGCAAUGAUUAUAAGUAUUGAGCCAAGUGCAUUAUGGACAAGGCGUAUUAUCUAUAAGAGACAUUUUGAUUACUCUUGUAUCUGAGCCAAGCGCAUUAUGGACAAGGCGUAUUAUCUAUAAGAGACAUUCAGAUUUGUCUCUAGGGCUUUUUAUGGAAAUGGGUAUUUGUCACUCUUCUAAUAUUUUUCAUACUGCUUUUACAUCUCGUUGGCCUAUGUUAUGUGAUUUCAAGUAUUGGUCAUGUGUUGUAUACCCUGUUUGGUAUAUCUUUCACUUGUUUGAACUUUUAGGCAGUCUGCUUGUGAUUAUGUAGCGAUAAAUGAAAUGCUGUCCAAGUGAGAGAUUGUUAUAUUUAUUAUAUGGACUAGCAUUUCAUUUAGUCAUUGUUUGAGCCCAUAAUGGGAUGAGCCCCCUUUUUAUUAACACACAUGGAGGCCCCUACUCUAACUCUACUUAAUAUGGAAUUGGCCCAUUAGAUUCUAUAUAUAUAAACAUGCUAGCCCUUUCUCAUCUCUUAAGCAAAAAGCGGGAUGUCGGUUUCAAGGGUUUUGAAGGGGAAUAGAGAGUAGUUCUCUCCAUAGCAAAUUUCUUCAUCUUUUGCAGUCUAAAGAAUCUAUGGAAAGUCAAUUACAAGCUAUUGGAGGUAUGAUUUCUCUUUGUUAUUGUUGAAUACAUACUAUGAAAAUGAGAAGGGAUUAUUAAAUUUUUUGAAGUUAACGCUCAUUUCAUUUUUUCAAAAACUAUAGAUAAAAUGGAUUUGAAUCAAUCAUGGUUGGUGUUAAAGAAAUUGUUAUACUUGCACAAAAAAUUAUACUUAGGGACCUCAUAAUAAUUUGUUGCCUGGGAUAUCAAAAUCUUCAGGGCCAUCCCUACUUGAUGGUGGUGAGAUGCUGAGGUGGUGAUGGUGGCAACAUAGUGUUAGGGCUGUGGUGUGGUGGGGGUGGGUAUUACUUCUAUAGGCAGUGGCUUGGUUAAGAGAGCCCACCGGAGCUAUAGCGAAAACAAGUCUUCAUAGGACAAUUGUUACUGCUUAUGGACCCGAACCUGGGUGAUUUAUCUAUGACCAAGAUGAAGCUUGGGUGAAGCUAAGUGGAGGUCCAAAUCGACUGAUGUUGAAUAAUCAUCAGAUGAGUUGUGUGGUAGUAGCAGUGAGAUGGUGCCAGUGAAGGUGCUGGUUGGUGCAUAGUAGUGGUGGUCGGUGGUAGUGGUGCCUGAUGGUGGAUGAGAUGGUGUGUUACCGCAUUUGCAGUGGCCACGACGGUUUUGAAGAAAGAGAAAACUGAAUUGAUAAUGUGGUAAUAAAUUUAUUUAAUCAGGUAGUCAGUGUAAUUAGCCCUAAUUAUUAUUAUUAUUAUUACUAUUAUUAUUAUUAUUAUUAUUAUUAUUAUUAUUAUUAUUAUUUUAUGACAUUCAUACGACCAAAUUAGGUAUUUAUUCAAUACAUGUUUGGCUAAAUUUAUAAAGUUUACUCACGGUCAAUAAUUAAAUACUAUAAUAUUUAUUUAUUUUUAUUGAUAUUAGAGCUAAAAUAAUUCACUUAUUUAACAAUAAGAGAUGCUACGUAUUUUUCUAAGCUUAAAGUAAUUAAUUUUACAUUUAUACAUAUGUUUUCAUGCAUUACCAGUUCAUAAUUACAAGUAAAAAAAAUUACUUACUUUGAUCGUGAAAUAUAUGCUAUUAUGAAAAUAAGUAGCUUGCACUAUUUUUAAUUUUAGUAAAUAAAAAGAAUAUUUUGUUAUAAAUUAUUUGCUUAAAACGAUUAGAUUAUAAGUAUAUUGUGGGAGUUGAGCAAACAUUGAAUCCAAUUUCUUAGGACUCUCAGUAUUCUUGGUUAGUUUUCCCACUUUAGCAUAAGUGAAAUUUCUUAUUAAAUGGGGAAUGUAUUGGUAUAAAAGAAGGAUGCUCAAACCAAAUAGUAUUUUUAAAAAAAUAGUGACGUACAAUGAUGUAUUAUUGAUUGUGUAUUUUGGUUAAAAUUUUCAGGUGUUUUGAACAACUUCGUUAUCAAAGUUUUUUGAGAUUUGUGUCUCAUAAACGUACCCAUUAAAUAUUUUCUUAGUAUUUAAUUGGAAGGCAUAUAUCAUUUGCUUGUGCUUAUCAUAUUUCUCUAGUUUAUAUUUUCAACAUGAAUGGCGAUUUUCUAUUUGACAUGGAAAGCUACGAAGAUCUAGUAAGACAUCUUGGGGUUAGCAUCUAACCUUGUACUUGCUCGAGUUUUUGAUACACUUUGUCACUAGUGUCAUGAGCUUAGCCUUCUAAAGUUGAUAUCUUGUAGCAUUGAGCAUUUCUUGUCACUACAAAAAAUAACCAAUUUCGCGACAAAAAAAUAUUGUCGCGAAAAUUGAGAUUUUGUUGCAAAAGUAAUUUAGCAACUACAAUAUGUUUGUUGUCGGUAUUGUAGCGCUAUAUGUUAUAGAAUGUGUUUUACGACAACUAUUGGCCAUUCAUCUCAUUAACAAAAUCGUGACAAUUUUUGUUUAAUGCAAAAAAAUAUGAAAUAGCAACAUAAUAAAUGUAGCCAUUAUGUCGUCGUAAUGUAUAUCUGUCGUGAAAAAUUAAAAGGGCGACAAGUCAGUUCACCGCAACGAAUAUUCCAAUAAAGUUUUUACGAGAAAUAUGUUUGUUAUGGAUGUUGAAUCAUGGAAUAUAUUCUACUACAACUUUCAACCAUUCGUCGCUUUAACAAAAUCAUAAUAUUAUUUGUUUGACGCAAAAAUUACAAAAUAGCUACACAAUAUUUGUAGCCAUAAUGUCGUCGCAAUGCAUAUAUAUCGCGAGAAAACAAAAAGGGUGACAUGAUAGUUUUUCACAACGAUUAUUACAAUAAAGUUGUGCUCGUAAUUAUAUUUAUUCCGGAAUACAAAAAGUUUGUCGCUUCAACGAUUUAUAAUUGCCGCCUAACUUAUUCUUUACUUAUUUGUGCAUGUCGGAGAUUCUAUUUUAAACAUAUAAUUUUCAAUUUAUUUUCAUCACAAUAUAAUUGUUAAUAUGGUACACAUUGAAAUUGUCACUUACUUCAUUAAAAAUAACUCGUGACUUUAUGAAAAGAAUGCUUCAAUGUAAAAUUAUUAACAUAUAAAUAAUAUCAAAAUAGAUAAUAAUAAAAUCAUAUUACUAUCAACAAAAUAAAUACAGACCAAUGAAUUAUUUACAAACUUGGUUACCUCCAAAACCAAAACAUAUACAAAUAAAGUAUAAUACUAGUAAUUUCAAAGUUGAACUACUUAAGGUUGUUCGCCAAACUUGAAAAUUAGAAAACAGAACUAGAAAUAUGGAAGAAAUGGCAAAAAACUCAUGAGACACCCUAACAUUCUUGACUCCAAAAUAUGCUUCCAAUUAAAAGAAAAAGAAACUAAUAUUGUUUAGUAAUAAAUAUCAAGUUAAUAAUUUCUGGAAAAUAUUUAUUAUUAAAAAAUAUUUGUUUUUUUUUUCUUUUAAUUAUUGUUUGAGAUAUGCACCCUUAAUAUCUUCCGGAAAAUAUUGACUCUAUUAGGGAGUUAAUAUUUGCUAUUUCAUUUUUAGCCAAGGGAUUUACAUAGAUAAUUAUAUUCGCGACAUUUUUUUGUUAAACAUAUCACAUUUUAAUUGCAAUAAAUACUUUUAACCUUUUGCUUAUUUUUACACUUAUGUUCUCAAUUUUUUUCAAUCAAUUUCUUAUUUUCCAAUGUCAGUUUUUGUCCAAAAAAAGCUGUUAGGUAGGCCUUAAAAGACUUGUUUGCCCAUAAUAUUCUAAAAGAAGCAAAAUAUACAAAAGUUGGACAGUGUAUUUGUCCAUCAUUUAGUGUACAUUAACAUAACACUUGAACAAAAAUCAUCAUCAAAAAGCAUGUGUUAGUUAUUUGGAGGUUAAUGGUAAAAAUGUGAUGAAAAGAAGUUGAGGACGUAAUUAAAAAACGAGCAAAAUUGAUAAUUUUGAUUGAAAUUAAAACUGGUUUUAAGUAUGAUUACCCGUUAUGUAUAGAUCUUUAUAGCUAAUUGCAAUAGAAAAAUUUAUAAAAUACAUCCUCUAUAUAUAUAUUUAGCUUUAUACGAUUUUUCUAAUUUACAUUUUACAUGCUAUUCUUUAUUGAUUCAUGCAUGACACCUUUUAUUCAAAAAAAGUUCACAAAUUUAGAUAUAUACCAAAAUACCUCUUAUUUAAGAAUAAAAAGUCUAGCAACACAUCACAAUUUAACUAUUUUAUGAUUUUUCUAGAGUGACGCUAUUUACAUUCACAGUUUUUAUAUAUACACCCACUUUUAUAAAGGAUAAUUAUAUUAUAUUUUUAAUCUUAUGUAAAUUUAUCUGGACAAACAUUUAUAAAAUUAAAUAAAAAUAUAUCAUUCUAAAUUCAUCAACUCAUAUUUAUUUUCACUAAUUUAUUUUGAACAUUUUUUUAUUCUUUCAGAAUUUGUGUUUAACUAAAAUCGUAAUAAACAUAAAAUAUUAUCUUCAACUUAAAUCAUAAAACCGUAAUAAUCAUAAGGGGUAAUUGGCACAAAACGUCCCUGUCUUUCAUGUUGAUUGUGGAAAAUAUCAAUACCUUUUAUUUUUUGACAUUUUUGUCCUUAUUUCAACGUUUGGUUGUACAAAACAUCAUUUUCCCUAUUUUUGAACGUAAAAUGACCAUUAUUCCAUCUUAUUUAAAACGAAAAACCAAAAAAGAAAAGAAAAAUAAAGCAAAAAUUGCAAUCAUACUCCUAAACAUUUUGAAAAAAUAUAAAUCAAUCCAAUAAAUUAUAAAAAUUAAACAAAAAAUCAUCUCUUUCUUCUCUCCUCAUCCUCAUCCUCUUCCUUUUCUCCUCCACCACCACCAAAACUCCACCUUCCGGCCAAAAUAGGCUCCCAAAACAUAUUUAAAAUAGCCAAAAUAGCCCAUUUAAAAAAUUGGUUGCCCAAGAAAAAUCAUAAAAAAAAAAAAAAAAAACCUUUAUAAUCCAUGGCUUGUUUUUCUUCCAAUCAUUACCAGAAGAAUCAAAAUGGCUUCAAAAAUCCCCAAGUAGCGGUUGUGAUGGUGCCUCCGCCAGCACAAAAGCCAUCUCCAUCAGUUCCUCCAUCUCUCCCGCCUCAUCACCGCCUACAACAUACCUGUUCAUUAUGCUACCACCACUACCCACAACCGCCAGGUGAAGCUACUCUCCAUCAUCGACCACUGGGACUCUCUUGUUCAUUUCCAUGAAUUCCCAAAUCCGGAAUAUCAAUAUCCUCCUCCAUACCCUAAUUCCUCCAACUAAUUCCCUUCACAUCUUCAACCUUUGUUUGAUUCCCUCUAUUCCUUCCACCGGCCGAUUUUCUCUCUCACCUAUUUCACACAGAGUUAUUGUUAUUCAUGAUUCUUUAAUGUCAUUUGUUGUUCAAGAUUUCAGUUCACUAUUAAAUGUUGAAUCCUAUGUUUUUCAUAGUGUGUCAGCAUUUGCCAUGUUUUGAUUUUUCGGGGAAACUAGGAAAACUCUUUUUGGCCAAAUCAAUUGGAGUUACGGUUAGAGGUUGGGUGGUUUUGAAGAAGGAAGUGAGGGCUUCAAGGUAGUGUGUUGGUCCAGCGCCCAAGGUGGACGGAAGGUGGAGUAUUGGUGGUGGAGGAUGAGGAGGAGGGGAGGAAGAGGGAGAGGAGAGAAGAAAUAGAUGAUUUUUUUAAUUUUUAUAAUUUAUUGGACUGAUUUAUAUUUUUUCAAAACAUUUGGGAGUAUGAUUGCAAUUUGUGCUUUAUUUUUCUUUUUUCUUUUAGUUUUUUGUUUUAAAUAAGAAGGUAUAAUGGUCAUUUUACAUUCAAAAAUAGGGAAAAUGAUGUUUUGCGCAACCAAACGUUGAAAUAAGGGCAAAAAUGCCAAAAAAAAAAAAAGAAAGGUAGACAUGUUUUCCACAAUCAACAUGAAAUUUAGGGACGUUUUGUGCCAAUUACCCUAAUCAUAAGAUAUAAUCUUCAAUUGAAAUCAAAUCUGCAAUGAAAGAGACACCAUUAGAGGAAAUACAUACUGACAUAGCAAUUUAUGAAGAAGAAUUUGAAAAGGCGAAGACUACGUUUUAUCAUUGUUUAUUAUUUUUUGUUUUCUCUCUUGCAUUUUUGUAUCGAAUUUUUUUGUUCAUGAGUUGUAACCUGCACCCAUUUGUAUUUAUUUCCCUCACUGCCUAUUUUCCUCCCUGAAAGACGAAUUUAGAAAAUUAAAGUGCUUCGAGCAUGGGUUUAUAAGUUUUGGUCAAGAAGGGUCCACGUAAACUAAAGUCAGAGCAUGUUUUUGGCUAGCCACGUGUGGUCUUUAAGCCAACUAAACCAACAUAAUUGUGAGAGCAUGCUUGGCUAGCCACGUGUGGUGUUUAAGCCAACUAAACCAACAUAAUUGUGAGAGCAUGUUUGGCUAAGCUUAAAAAGUUAUCUUGUUCACGUUUCAAAUAAUUAUUUUUUUCGUUGAUAAAAGUUGAAAAGAGUAUAAUUGAUACUUAUGAAAAAGAAAUUAUUUCAACUUUAGAAAAAAAAAAAAAAAAAAAGUCAUCUAAACAUACCAGGAUAAUAUAUAACUUAAAAGUAACUUAAGUUUUUGUUAAGCAGAACUUGCUAUAUUAUCUUAUUUAAUUCUUUUUCUUAAUUAAAUUAUGCCCGCAAUGAAAUAAAUUCCUAGCUCUGCCCCAUAUUUCACCAGAAUUAUAUAUUGAUAAAACAUCAUAUAUAAAAUAUUGUGAUAUUUUUUUUUAUCAUAUUAUGGAGGGGAAGAUAAUUUUUAUUUUAUUAACUAACACUGAAUUUCAUCGAUCUACUCUAUUGAUUUUUUAAUGAAUUGCGAGUAGAUAAUUGAAGUCGAACACAUUUGGCCAAUGUUGUAUUAAAUAUAUGAAAAUCUAUUACUUAUGUGACCGAAUAUAUGGAAUUUACUCGACUUUGUGUUGACAUAAAGUCACCGGCCCCAACAAUCUGAAUGUUACCUUCAUGAAUUUUGAGUGCUGGACUUGAAUUUGAAGAAUGCUUCAUCAAAAAAUAUUAUUAAGAAUUAUGAAUUCUUAUACAUCAAUACGUACUGCUCGUUUGUGUACAUUUAAAGUUGUAAUUAUGCUUUUAAUUUUGACACUACGCUUUUCAUUUAUGAUACAUCAGCACACAACUUUGAUGUGCAGAACGAAUUAUUUAUUGAUUAUACAGAUGUCUUUACUACAAAUAUGGUAAGUAAUGAUAUUCUUAUUUUUAAUAUUAUCAUAUAUUUAUAUACAAAUAUUUGAUGGUAUACAGAUGUUUACAAGUAAAGAGUCCUUGGUUGAUUGGGUUAAUACAACUAGUAAGAGACAUAACAUGACUGUUGUGAUGAAAAAAUCCAACUUAGGUCAGGUCGGGAGAAAACCAAGAAUUGAUUUCACAUGUGAAAUAUAUGGUUCAUAUAGGGGUAAAAAUACCAAUAACAAAAUUGAAAAGGGAAAGAGACGUGGAGCUACUGGAACAAAAAAGUGUGGAUGUCCGUUCGCUUUGAAUGGAAAAAAAUUAAUAAAUGAUGAUUAUUGGGUAUUGAAAGUGAAUUAUGGGAGGCAUAAUCAUGAUAUUGCAAAGAACCUUGAAGGACAUUCAAAUGCCGGAAGACUAACUGAGAAAGAGACUUCAAUUUUGAAAGACACGUUAAAGAAUCACGUGAAAUAGAAGGAAAUCUUAUAAACAUUGGAAAAAAUGAUGACACUAAUGUCAGCACAUUGAGGGACGUAUACAAUACAGGUCAGAAGUUUAGGCUCAAAGAACAAGCUGAAAGGACACAAAUGCAACAACUAAUGAAUAGGCUUGUUGAGAACAAGUACAUAGAGUGGCACCGUGCCUCUAAGGAGACACAUAUAGUUAGAGAUUUGUUUUGGGCAUAUCCAUAUUUAGUAGAUUUGUUACGGGCUUUUCGUCAUGUGAUAAUUAUGGAUUGCACAUAUAAGACAAAUAGGUAUCGCCUACCAGUGUUAGAGAUGGUAGGUGUCACUUCUACUGAUUUGGCAUUUUCAAUUGCUUUUGCAUACUUGGAAAAAGAAUGUGAGGAAAAUUACACAUGGAUUUUGGGGAGAUUGAAGAGUCUAAUGGAUAAUAUAAUAAUACCUAGUGUAAUUGUAACUGAUAGAGGCUGGCCCUUAUAAAGGCCAUUGAAAAAAUAUUUCCAACAUCAACUAAUAUUUUAUGUAGAUUGUAUAAUUCAAAGAAUGUGUUGGCAAAAACAAAAAAAAAAAAAAACAUUUUGAAGACAAAGACCAAUGGUAUGUGUUUAUGUAUAUGUGGAAUUUAUUAUUACUAUUAACAUCUAUAGCAGAGUACAAGCAAAAUAUAAAUUUCUUGGAAUCUAAUUUCCAACAAUUUCCACAAGCAAUCAAUUAUGUCAUGAAUUCAUGACUUCUUCUAUAUAAAGAGAAAUUUGUGACAGCUUGAACUAAUCUACAUAUGCACCUAAAUAUGUAAAUUUACUUAUAUUAUUAUUUAAAUUAGUUAGACAAAGAUGCAUAAAUUUUAUUUAUAAUUGUAUGAAUUCAUAAUAUUAUUACAAUACUCUUAUUUUACUCAUAUGGUAAGGCUGAGUCUGCACAUGCAAAACUUAAGAGGCAUUUAGGGUCUUCCCAAGGCAAUUUUGACACAUCAUGGACAAGAAUUCAUGCAUUAUUGGAGCUAUGAUGUACAAAUAUUAAAACUUCACUUGAAAGGAGCUUGGGUACUAUCCAACAUAAUUUCAAACCUAUCUUGUUUAAAGAGUUAAGCGCAAUGAAUUUGAUACUUCAAGAGUCCAGGCGAGCUGAUGACAUAGGGAUUGACAAGGUAGCUUGUGGAUGUGUUAUACGAUAUCACAUGAAUUACCGUGUUCCCAUGAGAUUUAGAGUACAAGAUAGAAUCUUGACCCAUUCCUUUAUCAAGAUUACACUCUCACCGGAAGAAACUUGAUCUAGUUCCUCCUGACAAAGCUAACAAGUUUGAGAUUAAUUGUGAAUCACUAUUUGAGAUGAUUCAUAAAUGUUAUCAAGAUAAUAAUGAUCAUGUGAAGGCAGAAAUCUUACAAAAAUUGAAAGAGAUUUCUAGUCCAAGUUUUACAUCAUUAGUUGAGCCACAAAUCAAAACUAAGACAAAUGAUUGUCCGUCUUCAAAGAUAGAUUUAUCUACUCGUCAAGACCCAUCAUAUUUUUGAGUAGGUGCAAUCUGGACAAGACAAUAUAUAAUAACAAUUGGAUAGUUCCAUUACGCCUUUAAAUCAUCCUUCACUAUCAAGCCACCCUCCAAUUUGGCAAAAACAAAAGGUAUAUAGUGCAUGUGGGUCAAAGUCCAUGGCUUAUUUGGAUUCAUUUCAUAUUCUUUUGAGACCUUACAUAUUUGGUGUGAAGGAUGCAACCUCAGAUAGUAACUAUGAUUUUUGAGCUGCGGCUAAUCUUAUAGGUAAAGGUGAAAAGAAUUCGCCUUUGGUCAGAAAAGACCUAAUAAAAGAGCUUCAAUCUCAUUUUGAUGAUUACUCUAGACUUUAUGGUAAUAUUGAUAUGGUCCAUGAAUUGAUUCAUUUACUUUCUCAUUUUGAUGGUUCCGCUAGUCAUGAGUAUUGGAUGACCAUGCUGACUACGGGUCAUGUUAUUGAUUCACGAUAUAUGGUUAUUCUUAUUCGCUUGAGCCAACAACAAUGUCUUACAUUUCUUCCACUGUGGGAUGAACCACUUGUAAUUGCAUCCCAUAGGAUUGUUGCAAUUGGAUUUGUCAAUGGCUAUCAUUUUGUUUUGGUAAACAUCUAUUAACUAAAUUAAAUUUUUCAUUAGCUAAAACGAUAUUAUAUUUUUACAUGUAUUUUUGUCAUAUAACUUUGUGUAGGUAAAUUGGCAUACUAGUGGACCAAUGCCACCUAUUGCUUGUAAUUGGUACAAAUAUCAUCAUCCAUGUUCAGAGGGUUGGGCUACACCAUAUCAUGCUAGAAUGCAACUUUUAGGUCUCUGGUAGAAAAUGAUGUAGCUAUAUCAGAGAUAAUUGACUUGGAUAAAUUAUAAGUUGUGAAGAUGUAAUGAUAACACUAUUAUUAUUAGUAUUUUCGCAAUAGAUUUUAAGCUUAUAAUUUGCAUGCAAAUUAUUAUCGUGAUGAUGGCCAACACUUAUGAUUUUGGAACUAAUACCUGACAUAUCCACUUUAGAUCUAUGACAUGGUUAGCCUUAAUUUAAGUAUACGAACUUUAUCAUUUAUUUCAAAUUCAUAUAUAAAUUUUAUUUAUUUCAAAAUUAUACAUAAACUUGAAAAGGCUGAUUUUGAUCGAUUACAAAAAUGAAUAUUCAUCAAUCAAAUAUAACAGACCAAUUCAUGUGGCAAAUAACACAAUUGCAGGAUUUUUAAUUUUAUUUUCAAUAUCAUGUUUUGUCUAUAGAAUUAAUUAUUGGAUUAUAAGAAAGUUGAUGUUAUAUGUAUUGGAGAUGAAUUUAGUGAUUUUUUAAAAUUUUGAAAUUAUAUUAGGGAUGUAUUUAGAGUGGGAUGAAUAUAUAAAAUUAGUGUGGAUAUAUAGUGUUUAAAUAAAUGAAUUUAAUAAGGACAAUAUUGGAAUAUGACGUGGAUGAUAAUAAUAAUUUUUUAAAAUUUUAAUAUUUUCAUAGGGAAGAAUAUAUAAAAACUAUUGAUGUAAAUAGUCGUACCCUUUUUCAAAAUUUUAAUUACUAUUCUCUUUGGGAGCUACUGUUUUCAUCCACUAUUUUUAUAUAUCUAUCACACUUUAAAUUUAUUCCUAUAAAAAAUUUAUGAUUUUUAGAAAAUGCUAUGUUCAUCCACGUCAUAUUCCAACAUUAUCCUUAUUGAAUUCGUUAAUUUAAACACUAUAUAUCCACACCACUUUUAUAUAUUUUUCUCACUCUAAAUUUAUCAUAUUACUAUUUUUAAAAUUUUUAAAAAAUAUUAGAUUCAUCCCCAUUAUAUUCGAACGUUACAAAGCUCAUAAGUUUAGGUGAUUUAAUUGUAAAUUAAAGUAACUUUUAAUAUUUACAAGUUUUGAUAGCUUAAAGUUCCGUCUUUACCAAAAUAAAUAGAACAUCAAUGUAAGUGUCAUGUGGCUACUUGAUUCGAUUGCUGAUAAUCUGAAAAGUCGAGUUACGAACUAGGAAUAAGAUCUGUACCUAGUCCUUGGUCUAGAAUCGAGAAUCAAACCAUACCUGCUGAUUUUAUUUUUCUAAUACUCAUUUUGGUAUUUAACUUAAAAAGAAUCGAAUGGAACUGAAUUUCAAGAGUUUUAUCCAACUGUUGUGUUGGGCUGCCUCACUAUUCUAACUGGCCUAGUUGUUUUAUUGGUCCAAAUUGUAUUCCGGGUUGAGGCCUAAAAUACUUGAUGAAAAUGUGUUUCUAAAACACGCGUUUACCUCUCUAAGCGAUGGUUUAUCUUGGCCUUAAACAUGACCUUCUCUUAGCCGUUGGAUUGGUGACUUUUGGUUAGGCAUAUAUAUUGCCUCUCACAUCUCUCUCAUUUGUUGGAUGUAUUCUGUAUAGGGUUCCUAUCUUGCUCUCUGAGUAUUCUGUACUCUUCUUUGUGUUCAAACUCUGUAAUAUUUUGGUGAGAUGUUCUUGAUUGUAUUAAUCUGCAAUUUGAGAUUGUGAGGAAUAUAUUCUGUUAUGAUAUUUAGAAAGGCGAGAUGAAACACCAAUGAAGAAAAUUUCUUCGUAGAUGAGUAGAUAUUGCUGAACAUUUGGGCCCUUAAGAGCGAAAAAUGUUCUAUGUUCUUCUAUUUUUUGAGAUUUUAUGUUUUCUGCAGCUUUAAGUUUUACAAAAUGUUGUUAUUUUGGUGACUCUAAGACCAACAAUCUUAUCAGAGCAUUUUUUUUUAUUUCAUAGUUACGUUUUUGGUUUUCUUGAAACCCUAGUUCUUAAAAUUGUAGAUUUACUAAAUCUUGAAAAUUUUGAAGAGUUGUUGAAAAUAAAUUGUAUUUUCUAAAAUAUACUUUUAUGAUCUACGUUCGAGUCAAUUUUUUAUUGGAUUCUACAAAAAAUUUGUGUCUUCUGGGUUUACAUCUGUUCUGUUCUUGAGGGUUCUUGAAUUUUUUGGUGAUAAAAUACUUUGGCUUGCCUUUGAUCUGAAAAAUUUAGUGUUUUCACUGAGUUCUAACGAUUUGGUUCUUGACUCGACACUAAGUUGAGGUGAUGCUUAGAAACUCAUCCUGACUAUUGAUAAGUUGAGUUGGCUCACUCGUAUUCCUACUGUUUUCUUGAGUGAACUAUUGAGUUAUACUAAGUCACUGUGACUCGUUGGGACCUUUGUACAAUCUUAGAUUUUUGGUCCGAUUUUGAUAUUCUUCCACUGUUCCCUUCAUUUGAAAAUUUUGAGGUUUCAGGCUUUGGUAUAAUCUUUCCAUACUCUUUAAUUCUUUGUUAUUAUUAAACUUUUUUUUGUUUAAUUUGAUUUGGUUAUUAAGGUAAGUGAUCUACCACUACUUACCUUUGUCUAAAAUCUCCUACGAGGUUUUCGAAAUAUGAGGGAAUAGUGGAUCAAAUGGUCUCCACUAGUUAAACCUGUCAAAUUUACAAUCCUAUUUGAUAAUUACUUGUUUGACUUGAUUGC
rnacentral:lncRNA from 1 species